GGUAUCACUUCGAUGUUUGGGUAUAUCUUCUGUGCUGCACACAGGUCUAUCAUUUCUUGGGUAUCCUUUGUUCCUCCCGUUACGCUACCUGAAACAGUUCUCAUAUCUGCCAAAAGUUCACCGCAAGCAACUUAGUUCACCUAUCAGGUAUAAAAUUUCAUUUAGUAAUCAGAUUUGAGAACAAAAACAUACUGAGGUUAAGGCUGGCUGGACUGAAUUUAACUUCGCUCAGGAAGCCGACCAAUGCUAGAAUGCCACCCGUCUUCAAAAGAGACAUGUAAGGAUCAAAUGGGUGAUCACCGGCUGCCGUGUCGAUUAUAAAGUCCAGGGACUUAGCAAUGGCCUGCAUGCAUUGGAUUUAUCAGAUCACAACAGAAUUUGACCACCAUGGAUCUCAAUGUGGAUAAUUCUAGUUUUUCCUCUUUUUACCUUCAUCUGCUCUAGGUCAGAUGAGAUAACGAAAUGGUCAGCCCCAAGCAGGCUCAGUGCUUCCUCCUUUUUAGAAAUGCUUGUACUGAACACUGUGACUUUCAGUCCAAAAGCCUUCCCAAACUUAACUGCCAUAUGACCGAGCCCGCCAAGUCCAAUUACACCUAGAGACUUACCAGGUUGGUUCAUCUUGUGACGUAUCAUUGGAGUGUACACCGUGAUUCCAGCACAGAGCAAUGGCGCUGCUAGAUCCAUCGGGUAGUUUUCUGGAAUCCUGAAGCAAUACCUGUCAAUGAAGCACCACAAUUAAGUUUCCAAAUAACACCAAGAGAGGAAGUGAUUUCCCAAUAGAAUCAGCAUCUUGUCUUUGUUGUCUAAAAGGAAUCAAAUCACAGAGCCAGAAAUCCUAUCUUCUGCAUGCUUGGGAAUUUUACUUGCUUAGACCACAAUUCAGCAUCAUGUUGUUUCUGUGAUCCUUGUUCUGACCACAAAUUGCUCUAGACAAACAUUUCUUGCUGUAGCAAUGUAAAUAAAGCAAUUGCAGAAUACAGGAGGCCACACUCGAUUAAAAUUAAGAAAAGACACUUGCUCUAAGAAAGGAAACUGGUGGCAUAUCACAUAUGCUUGACUGAACACGUAAUUUCUCUAUUUCCUUCAAUCAAUUUCUCCAAGGGACACAAGAUUCCUGUGGCUCUAUCAGAUACAAGAAUUAGUGAAAGCACAUACAUUUAGCUACCCAUUUGAUCUGAUACUUAUGAUCUAACUCUAACAAUCUAAGGACAGCUUAUUCCAUUCCUGACAAUGGUUAUUGAAAAGAAAGAAUUUCUUUUUGCAUUUAAUAAAGCCAAUUCUCCAUUGAAUGGUUUGAAUGGUAAUUAGAUACAAAGGACUUAAAGACUCUCCAGAGCCGUUAUAGAAAGUAUCUUUAUCCCUUUCCACAAGAUGCAAUUAAUACCUAAAAGCCAUUCCUCACAGUCCUAUGCAUUAUGCCACUUCUGGUCACAAUCAGAAAUUCAGAAUACAAAGAAAAUUAGCAGAGAAGAAGACAUGACAUGAAAUCUUUUUUUGGCCACCAUGAUUUGGAAUUCUGUCACAGUGCAAAAUGCUGCCUAAUAACGCUGUGUCAAUAAGCAAUUACCUUUCAUGGAUGACAAUGUGACUAGAAUAUCCUCCCUUUGUGACUGUACCGUCCGCAUCGAUUCCAUCAAAAGUCAAAACCGCCUUUUCACAUUGGGUUUCUAGCCUGUCAUUGCAAUACUCACACUCUCUGCAUGAAUUGACAUAAGUUCCCACCCCCACAUGAUCGCCAACUUUGAAGCGUUGGACACUGGAGCCAACCUGUUUCACAAUUCCAACUAUCUCGUGCCUGAAUCAAUCAAAAAAAUCAUUUGCAAAUUUUGUUCAGAGAAUUAUGAGGAUGGUGCUAAGAAAAAAAGAUUAACAUUUGAAUCACGCUGCAUCCUACCCUGGCACCAGAGGAUACUUGGAGUGUCCUUGCACAUUCCUAGUCCAAGCCACAUCUGCAUAGCACACUCCACAGUGCGUGAUCUUAAUCGAGACGUCUUCGCUUCCCACGGCCCUAAAGAGAUGAUUCCCAAACAGGUGAGCAUAUAAUCCAGUGACUAAUCAGACUAGGGUACCUUUUUUUUUCCAUUUUCAAGAUCAACAAACUAAGCUUGACCUACGAUUAUCGAGAAAACAAGAAACCAGAAAUGAGAAAAGGAAAAAUUCCAUGACUGCAAGCAUAUUUGUCCAUACGCUAGAUACAACCUCAAAUGCUCAGAAAGGCAGCCAGUACAGGAUCCUCAUGUCUGCCAUGAAAUUCUGAGUAACCCAUUACCAACAAUUCUCGACCCAGAAUUCAGCGCAUACACAACAAAAGAAAGAACGAAAAAAUGAAAUGGUCUGGACCGAAAACUGUCUCGCGUGAACACUGUACUGAGACUCUCGCAUGAACACUUUCGGUAGAAAUCGAAAAAGAAAAAAAAAUGGCAAUACCUGCGGGUGAAUUUGUAGGGGGAGAGGAACCCAGAAGGGUCCCGGGCAGCCCAACCGAGGCAAUCCUCCUUCCCACCCUCCGAGCUCAUCUUCUGUACCUACACACCCAGCGAAGCAAUCACACAAAUGGGUACGGUUAGAUUCAUCCAAAGGAGAAGAAGAAAGGGUGAGAACUCGAACGAGAAAGUGCCCAAGAUCAGAGACUCAACGGGUCAUCACUCGGCGAGGACUCGAGUCACAACGAGCUCGCCAUCACUCACCAACUCACUCACUCACCCACACCCACCUACCCAAACACAACCCCACGGGCCACAGCAACUCAGAGAGAGAGAGAGAGAGAGAGAGAGAUGACUACGGAGAUGGAGAUGAAGAGAGGUUACGCUGUGGAGUAUGCAGGAGCGCGAAGAGGGUGACGAGCCGAGCACAGUCGAGGACGGGAGGUUCAACGAAGACUUUUUUGCCCCCUCCUACUUCGCAGGAAAGCUGCGAGUAAUCCGAUGGAUUUUAUAGCGUUGGCCCGAGAUAGUUACGAAAAUAUUGGAAGGAAAAAUUAUCCGAAACUUUAACUCAACAUGUACCGUGAUCUAUAAGGAAAAAUAUAGUAUAUAGAAAUGAAAGAUGAGUAGAAAAAGAAAUGGACGAUUGCUGUCAAAUUAAAACUAUUCCCAAGUCAACUUGUCGGUCCCUUUCCUUCCAUUAUAAUCCUUUUUUAUAAUGUAACUGAAGAUUACUGGCUUUGUCACAACCAACGUAAACCCUCCAAAAGGUAAAAGAACUUAUGCAAAAGUAUAAAAAUGAAAGAUGUGUUGAAAAAAUGAGGACAAUAACCAAACGCGUGCAACUCAAUUGCACUUUUCGAUAAGGAUAAACUGUACCUCUCCUCAUCAUUGAAAGAGAUGGGAUUAAAUGCCUCUCCUCAUCAUUGAAAGAGAUGGGAUUAAAUGCAGACGUGAUUGACAUAGAGAUUAUCACAAGAAAUUAAAUAAAAAUAAGUCUUUCUUGGUAACGAGAUGUUUGUUCUCGUGACCGUGUAGGUCUUUCUAGGUUCUCUGACGCGUGCCAUGAGGUCAUGGCAUGUUAUGCAACCAAAUAUAUCCAUUCUAUAUUUCUAUGGUAACUAUCCAUCGUUACCUCCUGUGAACCUAAGAAGAACAAAACCAAUCCAUAAAGCUGUGGAGGAUCAAGAACAACCUGCCAUAAGUUAUUGAUGAACUCAGUUAAUUGUUCGAAGCCUUAGAAGCGAAUCAUUAAAACUUUAAGCAACUAAAAUGUCAGAUGCCAAACAGAAGGAAAAUCUACAGAGCCAACAUCUGGAUCGGAUCAAUGAUGGCAUAUCAACAACUAAGGGAAAAAUCUGCUACUAAAUAUUUAUCUGAAACUAGAGGAUGACGUUGCACUUGCAUAACUCCGUUAACGCAGAUCAAUGGUCAUGCUCUGUCUAGCUUUGUUAGAAGUUUGAAAACUCUACACGGACAGGCACUAUUUGCAAGAAGACGUGUUCCCUAUGCUCAUCUUUGUACUGAGCUGGAAAUGCUUUUAGCAGAUAGCUGUGCCUCCAGAAACAAAUCGCAUGAAGUGGCCCACAAUUCUCUGGCAAGUCCGGUGUCGUACGAAACUGAAGAAGAGUUGAUAGUCCGGCCCCUCCCACCAAAGAAAUACACACCAGAAAUUUCCUAUUUUUGCAAGACAGCGGCUAUUAGUAAGCACUGUUCCAACAUAUAAUAGCAGCCACAUAAGAUUGAUACCAUAGAUUAUCAGCAGAGAAGGGAAAAUCAAUUCUGGAAACAUACUGUCAUACCGUAGAAUCAACAUUAAUGGAUUUUACGUCCAAUGUUAGUGUGACCUCAGUUGAGGAUAAAACGAGAGAGACUCAUUCAAGAUGGUUCAGAUAAGUGAAGCACCAGUACAGGAAUGCUUUACACCAGCCUAUUUAGUGGGAAAAGAUCACUAUCACCCAUAAAUGCAGCUGUGGUUGCCUAUUGAGAUGAAACCCAGGUGAUUUCAUUGCAGUCCCAUCUAGCAUAUAGCAGAAAUUAAAGAUAAUGAUUGCAGUCAGAAAAACUCACAGGAGGGGCAAGGGCUGCAUCCAGAACUGAGUUGACCGCACCUUCAGGUGAAUCCAAAAGACCCAUUGCAGUUAAAAAUGCAAAAGCUGUGUAGGACAGGUAAGGGGGAACUUCUCGCAUGAUACUGGUUUUCACUACUCCAGGAUCCACAGCACUGGAAAUAAAAAAGAAACAGGAUAACAUCUCAAUUGUGCUGCCAGCAUGUAUUCAUACACAAAACUUUAGAGAAAGACAAUCUACAAAGCCUAAGUACAUUUUCUUGUUUAUAAUCAACUAGUAUAGUAUCUCUGAUAACAAAAACCAGGUUUUCAACUAAAAAGGGAUAGCUCAUAGAUUUGUGGAAAGUGGUAAGUGGAAAGUUCAAAUUCAACUACCAUACAAACUUAAGGGUGAGAUUACACUGUCCUACAAGAAUGCUUAAAUCCAGAGUGGCAGGAUUGUUGAUACAUACAGAAUGGAAACAUGACAGGAGCUUUCCAAGCGAAGGCGUCGAUGAAGUUCAUAUGAGAACAGCAGAAGGCAUACUGUAAACAAACAGGAAACUCUUACUAAAGUUUGUGAGAAGAUGUGACAUUUGCUUCUCAAAUAUUGCUGUAUCUUUUAUUCUAUCCUUUCCUUUUUGGUGCUAGGCUUCUCGAAUAAAACAUGAAACUUACAUUUUGAAUAACCAUAGAUCUGUGCACAUGGAUACUGUUUCAUCCUGAAGGAACUCUUCCCAAUAACACUUUCCUUGUCAAAUGUCGCACCACAUACUGAAGAAGAGGAGAACCGAGGAAAAGGAGAUUUUAAAUAAAUAAAUAAAAACUAUGACUCUAAACCUAGUAUAACAAUUGCACUAAAACAGAAACUGCACAGAGAAGUUGGACAGCAAGAAACUACAAGCAAACAAUACCAACUAUUUGACAUCAUAAAAGAGUUCUGUAACUUAGACAUUGAGUACAGCUAUAUUGCAUGUUCUAGUUUUAGCUUGCUAUCUCAGGCACUGUUAAAGUCCUAGAUGGGCACCAUAUUUAGUUCACUAAUUGAAUGAAAAAAUGACAUGCCAUAAGGGUCAGCAAGCCCGGGUUUCACAGAGGAACCUCCUUGCAGGCUGGCCACCGGCUGCAAUCAGUGUUCCACAGAUAAAUGGAAGUGUUUCUGACCACAAAGUGAAAAUAUCUUACCGCUUCGAUGUGUAAAGGACGUGACAUUGACUAUCCGGGAUGGAACAGGGCUGUUUCUGAGAAGUGGUAAUAAAUGCUUUGUCAAAAAGAAUGGUCCCAUGUAGUUCGUUGCCAUCAUCCUGGUGCAUAAAGAGGUGGAGAGAAGAAUCAACAGGAGAUCAGGCAACAAUGCAUUAUGAAAGACUGCAAUUAAUAAAUUCCAUUCCAAAAAGAGAAAAGCAAAACAGUGGGAGAUGCCACUUGCUACCGUGGCAACAAAUCUCCACAAGUAAACUACAAGUUGACAAGGUAUAUAGGAAAAUCAAAAUCACUAGAACAUUAGACUUUCAAUUGGGAAAGUGACGACACUAUUAUCGUUACUUAUUUAGAAAUUAGAACAUAUGCAUCUCAUUAGUUAAAUCUAAAACAACAGAAUAUAUAUUCUCCACUGUGACUGCUGUAGUGUUUAGAUUGCCAAAUAUUUGGAUCUUUGGAAAGAAUAUUGCAAAAAAAUUCCCAUGGCAAUAAGAUAAUUACUCAUCGAAGCCUUCAGCUGUAAUUCUGUAGGAUGUUGCCAACAUUCCAGCAUUAUUUAUCAGAAGCUGGACUGAGGCAUGCAUAUUUGAUUCCAACAGCCAUUGCUCAAGGGAGCAUCUGAAGUGUAAGAUUGACUCGAUAGAUGAUAUAUCAGCUUGAAAAGCUUUAAGAUGGGCAUCCUUAUUGUGUUUACAAAUCUCUGCCACUCUCUGUGACCCAAAAAAAAAAAAAGAAUCAUUGAGAGCAUCAUGUAGAGCAAAGAAGCUAAAACGGAUGCCGCACAACAAGUACCUCUGACAACCUGUGAGCAGACCGUCCAACUGCAGAGAAAGCAUAAAUUUCAGUUAAAUAAUUGUACCUGCAUGGAUCAAAACUCAUUCUUCUUGUAACAAAGAAAAGAUGCAUUUUGCAUUAACUCUAAGGACAACAAACAGUCAUUCGUACAUUAUUUGUCACAUUAAGCAAUUGACAAGCUUUUCUCUUUGCUUGAAUCACCAAGUAAAGACCAGAGAACAUUCAUAUAUCUACCCAUAACUCUUCCUAUGAGAGUGUUCAUCACAGACUGGUGGCAUUUAUGUAGACAGCCUAUUUUUUUUUCCUCCUAAUGUAGCUAUCAUCAGGAUGAUCCAGCACAAGCAAUCACAGAAAAUCCAGGCAUGGGGUUGAACUAAGUGUUGCUACAUCCAUAUCAAAGGAAUGAGGAGGAUAAACCACAGACUGCGACAUUACCAAGGACAACAACGAAACCUUCUUUUGAAAGAGCAUAAGCAGCCGCUGCACCCAAACCAGAUGUAGCCUGCAGGCAAAAGGCAGAGAAAGCUCUCAGUAGGAUAAUCUAAUUGAGGACAUUUGCUACUAGCAAAAGAAAUCCGUCUUACGCCGGUGAUAAUGCAGAGAGGUCUCAGAGGAACUUCUAUGUUGGCAUUUCGAGGGUAUGAAACAAUUCGACCAAAAAGACCACGGCUGAAGAAUUGCCAGUAUGAGGCCAGCAAAGAGAACGUCCAAAGUACUGCCAUUAUCCAGAAGUCUACUGUACAAAUGAAACAAAAAGCCUCGACCAACUCCUUUGACAUUAUUCUCAUCUUUGCCACCAUGGACUUCUUACCUGUGUUGGCAAAGUGAAAACAACAAAACAAAUUCAGGAUACUAAUAAAUCCAACAGAAAAGUAUAUGCGCACGGUAAAGUCCUAAAGUUUAUUGGAUUAGGUAGUGGAACUCGAAUUUAAAUCAAGUGAAUGUCACAAUUAAGUACUGGAGAGACCCAAUCUACGGAGAAAACACGCACCCUUACAUGACCAGUGCAGCAAAAUGAGUGCCUUGUUAUUUGACAGUCAGAGUUGAGACCUCAGUGUUCAGUCUACAGGAAAAGUUUUAGCAACCUCGAGAGAGGUAAGAACUAGGCAGAUCUCACUAUGCAACCAUAAAUCAACUAACUUCAGGUGUACUUUCAAACAAAUUCUUUGACCAAGCAUCUGAGGGAAAUCAACAAUACAGAGUUCAACAUUCUAGUUCGUAAAUACUUUGGCCUUUUCAUUGUCAUGUAUGAAUGACGGUUUCCCUAUUGUUUAGAAUGUACAGCUUUGAAGUGUCUUAAUGCCACCUUGUCUUCCCACCACAGCAAACACAGACCCAGGUAAAGGAAUCAAAUGUUAAAUCCAGUCUUAAUAAAUUUACACAUCACAACACACAACCCAGUGAGCUUACUUCAUCGGUUAGAGUCACCAUGCUCACCCAGAGUAACAAGCACACCAUCAAAAGUAAGAUUAACAGAGAUAGCAAAUGAUAUAGCUUGUUUCAAAAUGAAAUUCUGUUCAUUUCCAAGCUCCAGACUUUCCACAUCAAAGCUUGACGUCUACUCACCCUAAACAGACGCAGCUAUAAAAUUAUCAUCUACCAGCAGAACUCGUGAAAUUCCACACAAUUCAAACGGGCCUACACGCACGUCACCGACCUAGACACGUUCCCUAUUAAACAUUAAACAAUCACCACCCCAAAUCAUCUCCAAGCUCAACGUCCUCACCAUGCAACAGCUCCAGAGCUCCAAAAAGACCCAACAAGUUUUUCGCCAACCUUCACGUCAACUCAAGCUCCCCCGCUCACUUCCUCCCUGACAAUACACACCCCCCACGAAGCGCGCUCUAAGAAGCAUUACGUCAAACACAUUGGGGACAUCGAAACUCCGGGCAGAGUUCUCCCACGAACCCAACGCAAAUGGGCAUCCACGAAAACAGGAACUUGCAGAGAGGCGAACGCGGGCGCUCGUGCAGAUCACUGUAAAGCUAUUGCAACGAAACGUGAAGGGUUGCGCCGGAAACGAAAGGGCGACUCACGGGGAACGUGAAAGGGUCGAAGGAACGAAGGAAGGCGAGAGCAGAGACGGGUCGCCUCGACUCGACACGGUUCUCGUCGAAACCAGGAGAGUCUUGAGAUUGACUGGAGGAAAAAUCCGAGCUUUACAAAAAGUUAGAUGCAGGAUGAGACGAACAUCCGGUUCUUCAACCCGAGUAAAAGCGUUGACACUAAGGGCAAACUUUUCCUUGCAUAUUAGGGAGAAUUAAGUGGGAAAUUUUCGUUUAUCGAAUUCGCCAACAUGUUUUCCAAAAAAAAAAAAAAGGAAAAAAAGAAAUCACUAACGUAAUUUCAUUCACUAUCACCCCUUUUGAAAAAUCAAAUCCAUGCAUGGGACCGAUUAAAUUUCAUUCGUCAAUCAGUACUCUUUUGUAUGAGAACUUGAAGAAAGAAUGACUCGCAAAAUACAUAAAAAAAAAUGGAACAUCACAAGAUAUGCAAAAAUUACUGUAAAAGAAUCAUAGAUUACAUGUUCUAACAAAAAGGAAUCAUUUAUUGCAUUUGUGUGAUGUAAACUAUACUGGAAUUAUUUCUUGUAAAUCUUGAGAGUGGUAGUAAUUGUGUCAACAUUUGGAAUCCUAUUAGGGAUAAAUAUAUUGAAAAUAUUAAAAUUUGUCACGAAGUUACAAUUUAACCCUAAAAUUUGACCAAAAAAAAAAUUCCAAUCAAAUUCUAAAAUUUGUUACAAAGUGUAAUUGAAUUUUUAAAACUUUUAAAAAGUACAUUCAAGUUCUAAAUUUUAUUAACAUUUUUCGUUUGUCAAAUUUGAUGGAGUUUAGGAAAAUACUUGAUUAUAUUAACUUGUCAAGUUGGCUUGGGCCAAGUUUGGCAUACCUAUAGUCCGUCGGAUCCAUGUUAAGGUCUACUAGCUUUGACCCUCCCUAGCUUUUGGGCUGGAUUGGGUCGCUGCGCCCAGCCCUUGCAGGAUCUCUCUCUCUCUCUCUCUCAACUUUCCCUAUGUGUUUUUUGGUUACUUUAACAUUUUUAUUUGUCUUUUGAAUUAAUGAUCUCACGUGGCAUGGUUCAAAUUACUGGGGUGUCAGAACCAAAACCAAAACUAAAAUCUAACCGAAAUUUCAUGCAUUUUUUAUUUGAUUUGGUUUUGGUUAGGAUAAUAGAAAGAUAACGGUUAUUUGUUUUCGAUUUGGUGAAUCGAACUGAAAUCCUUAAUACAAAUAAAUGCACAACUUAAAAUCCCUCCUUUUUCUCAUCUCUUAUUCUAUUUGAUUCCAAUGAGAAGGUAAAAAUCAAAAAACCAAAAACUGAAAACUGAAUUGAAAAUAAUCCAAUCGGAUUUUUAGUUCAGUUUGUAUUUGAUUCAGAUCGCAACUUGGUUUGCUUUAAUUACUUAUCUUAUCAGUUCGGUUUGGUUCGGACUUUAGGACAUUCGAACUAAAUCGAAACGUUGACGCCCCAUUAGCCACAUAGAUGAAGUCAUGUCUAUAAUUCAACAACGUUAAUUAUGAUGGUUGACGACAGAGUCAGCAAGAUGCAAAAGAUAUAGAAAUACAUCAAAAGAAGGAAAAAAUAGUUAGAGGACCCAAUCGCAGGAACAUCAGUACUAUAUCGAGAACAAAAAAUUGCUAUGAACUAAAUCAUACAUUAAAAGUAGGAAACAAGGAGAACUAACACGACCGUUAAUAGCAGCAUUGACAUCUAUGUCCAUGGAGAAUUUUUCUUACGCAACUACCACAGGUGGAUCCCAGCUAAUUUGCUGUCUAUCUAAUCCCGGGUGAAAACGGUCGGGCCUUGGUUCGGAGCCGUCGAGGACACACGACCAUCCUCAACGCUCCAAGCUCGUCCUCCUCCGGCGCAGUGGCUCGGCCUCAUAUCCUCUAAGCUUCACGGCUUUGUAAGUCACGGCGCCAGCUAUGGCUCCGAGCGGAGGAGCCACCAUGUACAUCCACAAUCCUUUGUAGUUCCCUGCGGCCACGGCCGGGCCGAGAGUCCUCACGGGGUUCAGGGAACCUCCGGUCGGCAUCCUGCAUUUCCCGGGAACAUUGUUAAGGAACAUUAUGAAAGCUAAAAUUCUGUAACAACGCGUCCAUACUUGCACGCCCGAAGGUGAGUAGUUUCAGUACAAUGCUUACCCUGUCACAAGAACGCCAAGCAGCACCGUUGCUCCGAUUGCAAUACCUGCCAAAUCUCCUACCUAUCAUCAGAAAAAAGGAACAAAUGUAAGUGAAAUGGAUACAUGCUGUAUACAGAUGCCACGAGUACAGAUAGAGGAAGAGUCGAUAUGCAGCAUGGCGACGUACUGCACGAGUGUCGGUCACCACCGCGACGAUCACGAACGCGAGAAUGAAAGUGGCGAGAAACUCGAGAGCAAACGCCUGUCCGAUGUCCACCGAAGGCACCGUGACGCCGCCGUUGGCAAAGGGAUGGAAAACGCCCUUGAGGACGUAGGAAGCACACAUCGAGCCCGCAACCUGCGCCGCGAUGUAGCCAGGCACCUGGAUCCAUGGAAAGUGCCAGAUCACCGCGAGGGCGACUGUCACCGACGGGUUCAGGUGGGCUCCUGAAAUGUGACCGAUCGAGAAAACUAUGAUCAUCACGGCGAGCCCAGCGCAUGCCGCGUUCCCAAGCAACGUCUCUGCUCCGUUGUACUUUUGGUUCACAAUGGGCCCGCCCACCGCGCAAAGUACUAAGAAGAAGGUUCCAACGAACUCUGCUCCGACCUGCAUCGUUCAUGUAAAUCUAAAUAAGAAAAUCUAUCCUAUCUUUCUUUCUUGGUUUCACUCGCUAUGAAAAGGCAUAAGAAUUAUCAGUUUAUGCUGCAACAGCUAGCGAGCCUGUCUAAUCUUUACUGAUCUUUGAGGUCGAUUGGGCUUUACCUUCCGCAACGAAUCAUACUUAUCCGGCUGGAGACGCCGAACACCUUCCGUUGCACCGUCACUCGGCGCACACCACUUGCACUGUACCACGGACCCGUCCUCCGGCAACGAUGAGUCCACUUGCAACGUCACAGAUGCCGGUUGGCACAUCUUCUCUUGCCUGGACAGCUCGAUGGAGAUUAAGGGAGACCAGAGGUCGCGAAUAAAGGAUCAAGAGAUCGAUGAGAAGAGAGAUCAAGACGAGAGGGAGCCUUCAGUCUGUUGCCUCCGUCUAUGAUAGUUGAUUGCAGCGACCCCAAAAGCAUUUUAUAGGAGAGAAGACAACGGCUUUAACAUCGCCAACAUCAUCUUCUUGUUCACUAGUUCGGCUUGUUGACUCGCUCCAUAGGAUUCGGUCAUUCAUAGUAGUUCGGACUGUCUGCACCUUGACUAGAUCUAGGGUUACUCUAUACAAGUAAUGAUUUGACUCGGUUUGGCAUGCUCAGAAAAACUUGGAGGGCACGUUUCUAUUUCUGAAAUUUAGGUGUGCAAGUCUACAUUUGUGGACCAGAUAUUGAAUAUUUAAGACCGAUUCUAUAAAGAGAAGAUCCAUCAAAACGUAUUUUCUUUUUUUUGUUUGGGGGGGAAGAGUUAAGGGCUGCGUUUGUUUUGAUUUCUUUUUUCUGUUUUUAAACAAUUUUUUUUGUUUUUUUGUUCCUGGGAACAAAAAAGGAACAGAAACGCGUUUGUUUGCAUUUUUAUUCCAAAAUUAUUUUUUUGUUCCCAGAAACACAUCUGGAACAAAAACAAGAAACAAAAAAAAAAGUUGUUUCUUGUUUCUGGAACAAAAUUUAGGAACACUUUCUUCUUCUCUCUUUUUUCUUCUUCUUUUCUUCUUCUUUUUUCUUUCUUUUUUCUUUGGCCGGUCGCCGGCCUCAACAAUUGAACCUUCUCAAACUGUUUCUUCUUAAGAACCAAAAAUAUUUGUGCCAAAAUAACAGAUGCCAAGAAGAACAAAAGGCCUUGGACACGGAAUGGAUCUUGAAGUACUAUUUCCGCAUCUCCUUGACCAAAUCCACCCACAUUAGGAUUACUCGUUAAUGGCUGAUCAAGUUUGAUAGAUUCGCCUUCGGAAACAAGAAGUUCUGGCCCUGGUGGAAUAAUAUCAACCACUUGACGUUCAUCUGACGCAUCCGAUAUGGUUAUUUCGUACCCCCCUUUUUCUUUUCGUAUGAUUUUACUUACUACACCAGCCGCUGUAGCAUUAUAAACUGUAUUGUUACUCUUGCUCCCAUCGGGAUAAAUCUGACCCAUUCCUCUGUUCCCGCCUACAUAUAUGGGAUAUUUUAAGAAGUGAACAUCUUUAUUAGUAGCGGGGUCCGGGGAAAGAAUAGGAAAGGUGACUUCACUAUAUUUCUGACCAGAAACAGGACCUAUCACAAGAAUAUUUUUUUUAUUGGGGCGAUAGCUCUGAAAAGACAGAUUGCCUAUCUUUUCUUUCAUCUCGGGCGAAAUACGAUCGGGAGGUGCUAAUUCAAAUCCCUCAGGUAAAAUAAGAACAGCCCCCACAUUCAAACCUCCCAUUUUACCAUUAGCAAGAACUUGUUUAACUUGCAUAUCAUAAGGAAUUCGAACAACUGCUUCAAAUACAGUAUCAGGAAGUACCGCUUGCGGAACCUCAAUAUCCACGGGCUUAUUAGCUAAAUGGCAAUUGGCACAUACAAUACGUCCGGUCGCUUCUCGUGGAUUUUCAUAACCCUGUUGUGCAAAAAUGGGAUAUGCAUUUGAAAUGGAUGUCCGAGCUAUGAUAUAUAUCAUCAGCGAUACGGAAAUAGAUCGAAUAAUCUCUUUCUUUAUCCAAGAAAAGGUGUUUUUAGUUUGCAUGGUCCAAUCAUUGAUCCCGAAAAUUUCUACAAUAAAAUUAGGUAGGUCGCUUGUAUAGUUCCCUAUCCACAAUUCUGCUAUUUACUUUAUUGAAAUCAUUUUACUGGAAUAUAAGGAGUAGGAGAAAUCCCUGUAGGGUAGAAAGAGUAAGUACGUCUUAAAAUGGAAAUGCUUUGCUUAUGUACCUUAUGUUACAAAGUAACAAAUAUUCUAGUUAGAUCAGUCAUUCAUUGAAUGAUAAAUCACUACAAGUGAUGGAGAUAUACGAUUUAAAUAGCGGAAGAUCCAAUAUUUAAAAAUUGUAUCCAGAAUGACUGGAAAAGUAGAAACAAGACCCGAUAUAAUUUGAUCGUUGUGAGCAAAUCCAAAAUCUUUGUAGACAUAGCCAAUCAUUAGUUCCCAACCAUGGGGCGAAUGGAAUCCGAUACAUAAAUCAGUUAAUAAAAGAAUAGAAAAAGCUUUUAUUGUGUCACUUAAGUUAUAUAGGAAUUCUUGAACCCAAGAGUUAAGAAUAGCAAGUUCUUCAUUACCCAGAAUAGAAUAACCACUUAAAAUAAUGAAAGAGGUUAUAUUUGUCGAUAAGUGAAAAAUCAUAUGGAUAUGAUCCUCAUUGUGCAUCUUGAUCAAUUGGAUCGUUUCUUUGUGGAUUCCUAUACGAAGUGUUUGUAGAUGUGUUUCCGGGUAUUCUUUUAUCAUUUCGUCCAAGAGUAAGAGUUCUUCCAAUUCGAUGAAUUUUUCUAGAAUACUCUUUUCUUGAAUAUCAGUCAAAAAAGUUUCGGAUUGCCUAGUAUUCCACCAAUUAGUAAUCCAAAAUUCAAGACUUUUAUUAAAUGAGAGAGAGAUCCACCAGGGCAAAAAUACUAUAGAUGUAAGAUAUAGAAGAGGAAGAAAUGCUUUCUUUUUUACCAUUUUUUCAUCUUUGAAUUGUUAAUGAAUCCACCUCAUUUGUUGAAUCUAUGUGAUCUACUAUUUCUAUUAACCCUAAGUUCUAUUACAGGGCAUCGGGCCUCGGCCAUGGCCGGCGACCGGCAGUCGAGGGCCGGUGAGGCCGAGCGUCGCCGGCCCUUGGUGAGGCCGACCUCGCGCCGAGCUAGGCGAGCUCGGCCUCGCCGGGCCACUGCCAGGUCGGCAUCGCCUGGCAGUGGCCCGGCGACGCCGAGCCUCGCCAGCCACUGAUUGUCACUUGCUUUUAGUCAUGCAUUCAAAACUGUAAGAUUCAUGCACUAUAAGAUAACCAGACAAGCGAAAAAAUGAUGUGCAUUUCAGUUGAGGUGGCAAGACCAAUUAGAUUGAAUUCAAACCAAAUAAAGCUUGACGCAUAAAAGAGAAAUGUUGUGCAUUGAGCGAAUAUAUGACAAAAUAAGUGCAAAGAGAGUCAUUGAUGUUCUAGCACUUUGGCCAAUUGAGUUCUUAAAAUUUUACUUUGCUUAAUUGAAUCCUUAGCAUUUUCAAUUUUAAUCAAUUGAGUCCCUCAAGCUUGAUCCUCGGAAAUAGCCACAUGGCUAUGAUUUUCCAAGUUGAUAAGAAGAUGCUCGACAAUAAAACCAGGUGAGCCUCUCAAGGGCUUCAUUGGCAUAAUCAUCAGUAUCACUUCGAUUUUUGGGUAUACGUGCUACACCGCACAGAGGUCUAUCAUUUCUUGGAUAUACUUCAUACCUCCCGUAGUGCUACCCGAAACGGUUUUCAUACCUGCAAAAAGUUCAUUGUGAGCAACUUACUUUCUUCACCUAUCAGGUAUCAAUAUUUCAUUCAGUAAUGAGCUUUGAGAACAAAAACAUACCGAGGUUAAGGCUUGCUGCAUUGAAUUUAAUUUCGCUUUGGGACCCAACCGAUGCUAGAACGCCACCCGUCUUCAAAAGAGACAUGUAAGGAUCAAAUGGGUGAUCAGCAGAUACCGUGUCAAUUAUAAAGUCCAGGGACUUAGCCAUGGCUUGCAUGUUACGAUUCAUCAGAUCACGGCAGCACUUGACAUCCAUGGAUCUAAAGUAUUAAUAAUUCAAAAUCUUCCCGUUUACCUUCAUAUGUUCUUGGUCAGAUGAGAUAACGAAAUGGUCAGCACCAAGCAAGCUCAGUGCUUCCUCCUUUUUAGAAAUGCUUGUACUGAACACGGCAACUUUCAGUCCAAAAGCCUUCCCAAGCUUAAUUGCCAUCUGACCGAGCCCACCAAGUCCAAUUACGUCGAAAGACUUACCCGGUUGGUUCAUCUUGUGACGCACCAUUUGAAUGUAUACUGUGAUUCCAUCACAGGGCAAUGGUGCUGCUAAAGCCAACGGGUAGUUUUCUGGAAUCCUAAGGCAAUACCUGUCAAUGAAGCACCACAAUUAAGUUUCCAAAUCAUGUAAUUUUUCUAUUCCCCUCGAUCAUGUCUCUAAGGGACACGAUAUUCCUGUGACUGUUGGAUACAAGAAUCCGUGAAAGCAUAUACAUUUCAUUACCCAUUUGAUCUAACACUUACUAUCUAACUCUUGGGAACAAUCUAAAAAAAGGGAGGAAGCGGAGACAAAAGGCAAGGAUUGAGCAAUUUCCAUCUCUCUCUCUCUCUCUCUCUCUCUCUCUUUUAAUUAAGGGUUAAUAUCCUAAAAAAUCCCAAAUUGGUACACAUGUAACAAAUUUACCUUGACAGACUAUAAAAAACUCUAAACUUAUAUAUUUAUGACAAAUUUACCCCAAACUAAUUUAUUUGACCGCAAAAAAUCUCAAAAUGGUAAAUUUGUAACAAAUAUACCCUUCACUAAAUUGGAUUAAUACCACAAAAAGAUCACAAAAAUUGUAAACCGUGACAAACGGAGCAUGAAAUCUCAAAUUGGUAUUACUAAUCAACUGUCACGUGCCAUUUAACUUAAUAAUUUGACAGUAAAAUUUAAUGAAAACUAAUAGAGGGUAAAUUUGUCACAAGUGUACUAGUUUAGAGUAUAUUUGUCAAAAGUAUACCAGUUUGGAGUUUUUAGUGGUCAAAAAACUAGUUUAGAGUAAAUUUAUCAUAGGUGUACCAGUUUUGAGUUUUUUAGGGUAUUAACCCUUUAAUUAAUUUAGUUUUAAAUUUAAUGUUAUUAAUGUUUCAUGAAAAUUCAUAUGUUAGAUUUAUUGGCUCACAUGUCAUUGUCACUUGAUGUGUAUGAUAUAUAGAAUAGUCCAAGAGUUUUGACUUUAGAUGCUUGGGAACUCGCGAAUGGUCAUACAUUGUCGGUUACACAUUCAAUAUGAUGUAUUAGCUAAUCAUAGUCCUCUAACGGUUUAUAUUUGCUUAAUAUAUUUCAAGAAUAUUCAUUUGUUAGACUUGUCCGCUCACACGCCACUGUCACUCGAUGUAUAUGAUAUGCAGAAUAGUCUAAGAGCUUUGACUUUAGACACUUGGGAGUGUCUAUGCUUGUUUUAUGUCUGUUAUGCUUGCAAUGCUUCUGGUUUUGAGUGGACAGUACAAAUAUUUAAGUCCAUGUCAAUUUGAACAAUUUUCUUUAUUAUAGAGCAACCGUCUUUAAUCUAUUGUGUUCUUGACCACAAAAAACCAAAUAACAAAUAAGUAUUAAUUAUUGUAGGGUCCAACAACAAUCUUUAAUCUAUUGUGUUCUUGACCACAAAAAACCAAUUAACAAAUAAGUAUAAAUUAUUGUAGGGUCCAACAGCAAUCUUUAAUCUAUUGUAUUCUUGACAACAAAAAACUAAAUAAUAAAUAAGUAUACAUUAUUAUAUGGCCCACUCCUUUAAAAAUUUGUUGCUCACAACAACUUAUUUAUUCUCAUAAUAACCCAAAGUUAUGCUAGCAAAGCUCUUUUGAGUAAGUGUAUUGAAAGUUUUAAAAACUUGUCACUAAAGUGCAUUAAGUCCUGAAACUUUCAAAAAAUACAAUUUAAUCCUAAAAUUUGUCACGAAAUGCAAUUGAGUCUUAAAAUUUUCAAAAAGUAAAAUCAAUUAUAAAGAUUUAUCAAUAUUAUAAGGGACAAAACCAAAAGCUGCAUGCAAUAAAUCAGACAAAAUUCAUUAAUUUAUGACCAUCAAGCAAGCGUCAGACAUUAGCAAAUGAAUGUAUUAGCAAUCGAAAAUACAUCGAAAACAAAAAGUUAAAAGCUCAUAUCUACCUUUCAUUCUUAUGCUUUGUAAGCCCCUCUGACCUUAGUGACCGCAAGGAUUUUACUGUGGACUCAAUGAGAUCCAUCUCAAGCUCCACCCUUUCAUGUGUCCAGCACUGAAGCAAAAGGAAAAUCGCAAUAAUGCGAUGAGGAUGAAACUAACCCAUUGAAUUUCUGAGUAAUCCAUCAAGUACAAGUUACCCAUCAUUCGGCCACUAAGCUCCUCCACUAUGGCCCUCAAUUGCUGGAUGCUUACUACGAGCGCUUCAUCCCUUCGUAUGAAGUCAACAUUUCUUUGAUUCACACUUUCUUUGCAUGACAUAUUUUAAACCUACAAGUAAACGUUAGUCACAAAAAUCCUCACCAAUUGCUCCCUCACGUGUUUCUCUCAAUGUGUUUGUCACUCCCCUCGUGUUUAACUCAAAUUUAGGCUUUUUCCCUCUCGUAUUCUCUUUUCACAAGUUCUUUAUUGGACUCAAAAUCAGUCUCUCAGCCCCCUCACGACAAUCAAUCAAAAUAAUCAAACAAGAUUAGAUUACUAUUAAUUUUGUUUCAGCAAGUAACAAUUUCAAACCAACAAGUAUAACUUUCGAAAUUCUAAUUGAAACGCAAAUCACUACUGAUUUUGUUUCAAUUCGGUCCACAGUCGCCUUCUUGAUUUUUUUUUGUUCAGCUUUUUUUUUCUGCUGAAUCUUUUUUUUUUCUCUAGCGCACUUUUUUUUUGUGUGCGUUUUCUUUCUCUUCUUUUUUUUUUUUUACGAACUUUCUUUGUUUUUUUUUCUUUCUUUUUUGACAAACUCAGAUACAAUUUAAGAUGAUAGGAAAAAAAAUAUUAAAACUAACAGCAAACAAUUACGUAUGGAAGCACAAAAGUAAUCAGAUCCCUAAAUUGGCUAGAACCGAAACCCUAACUCAAUAAAUCUCAAAUUGCUGAAUAUAAACAGAAAAUUAAAGAUAAAUAGACAUUGUAGAAGUAAGCUCUGAUACCAAAUGAUGUCAAUCGUUGUGGAAAAAUCAUUCUACGAAGGCCUGGAUGGUGCGAAUUGCAAACCUCGACCUCCAAUCAAACCUGUGAUUGAUAACCUCGAUAUGAACGUGAUCAAACCUACGAUUGAGAACCUCGGUAUGAACGUGACCUAUUGACAAACGCAUGUCAACCAACCAAACCCACGAGCGAAAGAAUAAGGUUAAGUUCUCAAAAAAUAGUAGAAAAGAAUCUCUCAACUUUUUUCAUCCAUAUAUAUAUAUAUAUAUAUAUAUAUAUAUAUAUAUUGACUUGGUCAAAUAUUUGAUGAUCAGAUAAUCAAAUUGUGCAAAGAUUUCUAAGAUUCUUCAAGAUUUAAUCCAAAGCCAUCUCUACGCCGAAGAUCAUGAACCAUGACGCUAACAGCUUACUUGAAUUGCUUGGCUCGUGCUCGAGUAAUUGAACCAGUAGGAAUAGACAAUGGGUCUCUAGCACCACCUCAUCGAUAUGGCUUGAUGUCCACAUCAUAAUGCAUGCGAAGGAACAAGCCGAUUGCCACUUGAUGUUAGUCAUUCAUGCAAAACUGUAAGAUUCAUACGCUAUAAUAUAGCCAAACAAGCAACCAAAAAAAAAAAAUAAAAAAUAAAAAACUAAAAAAAUGAUCUGCGUUGCACUUGAGGUGGCAAGGGCAAUUAGAUUGUAUUGAAACUAAAUGAAGUCCGUUGCAUUAAAAAGACAAUCAAAUGAUGCAUUGAUCAAACCUUCUCUUCCUUCUUCUUUUUCCUCUCCAGGUCUUCCACGCCUUCCGACUUGUUAUCCGGUUGAGACUGCACGACCCACAUCGACUCAUCAAUCUGAUCAUUACAAUCAUAGACUUGCCAUUUCCACAGCUAACCCAAUAACUCAAGCUACAAUCAGACGAGCUUCCACCCAAGAAAACAUACCAUUUCGAUGGUUGGUAAGCGUGAGACUGCAACCAAAGUUCGAUUCCGACAAGAGAAAGCACCGGGACAGAUGGUUGAGCUCCGUUUAGAAGUAGACCCAACAGCCGCCGGCGAACAAGGGUGGCGACCGUGACUUCAAAGAGACGACUUGACGGCGACCGAGCUCGGCGGAGGCGAGGGCGGCGGGACUUGUCAGCAGGGAUUUUUCUGACAGUGUCAGACUGGCACGACUCUGACGUUUUUUUAAUUAACUAAAGAAAGAAAUUCGUAAUACGACGUGGGCAGCCCGCAGGAGGGCGAAAUAAGAGUUUCCUGUUCUUAUUUUAUUUUAUUUUUAGCCUUUUCUGCUUAUUAGCAAAUAAAAUUUAUUAAUUUGACACGAACAUAUAGUGGUGUAUUUCCUACUAGUAAUAUAAAUUUAUAGAUUUUAAGGGAAGACUUGGAUCGUAAUUGUCAUUGGAGAGGAAGUGAAUGAUGAUAUAACAUGAGUUAAUAGACGUAAGUGAAAAAUGUCACAAAAGAAAUCGUGUUCCGAUAUUAAUUUUGUCAAUAUAUUGAAAAGGCAACAGGUUUCGUAUUCUUCUGGACAGAAAUGAAAGGUCAAAGGGAAACGAGAAGGACUGAGCAAAUAAAUGACAAAAUAUGAGCAAUGGAAGUCAUUGAUCGUUUGCCGUUUGACUGAUUGGAUUCUAAAUAUUUUAUUUUCAAUUGGGGUCUAAAUAUUUAUUUGGUCCAAUUGACUUCUAAACAUUUCCAAUUUUAGUCAAUCACGUCCCUCGAAUAUUAUUGUCGGAAAGAGCCACAUGGCUGUGAUUUUCCAAGUGGCCAAGGAGAUGCUUGAGGAGAAAACCUGUAGGAGAGGCGAAGCCAUUCAAGCAGAACUCUCAAGAAGCCAAUUUUUCAGACAGUUUCUCAAUCAUCACAUAGAAAAGUACCAGGAUUUCAUUACCCAUUUCACUUAUUUCUGCUAUAAAACUUACGGGUAUCGAAGUAUAUCAGGCAUAGUUUAUUUGUACUCCAGCAGAGAUAGUAAAAAGGCACAGAUGAUGCUCUCCUCUAGCUGAAACUCCCACUUUUCCUCUCUGUGUGAUCAGCUUUGCCAGCAACAAUUUCCAACUUCCCAAAUUGAUGUUCAAAUUUAAUCAAAUAGACUCAGAGAAGAAAACACACGAGAAUUGUUGCUAUAACUCUUGUUACUUUAUUCAUCAAAACAUCCAAAUCACUUAGCAAGAAAAUAGCUAUAGAACAACAACAACAACAAAGACCCACUGACAUACCCCACCGACCAAACAUGUGGAGAAACUAACUCCUACAAAAAAGCCACUUCCUAUUGACUAGGACUCCACUAUUACAUUAUUGAAGACACGUAAAAACUGUAAGUUAACUACUUCAACAAUUGAUGGUGUCACUUCAAGGAGUUCUCAAUGUCGAUCACGAAUCGAUACUUAACAUCUCUCUUGAUGAGCCUCUCCAGAGCUUCAUUGGCAUAAUCAAUCGGUAUCACUUCAAUAUUUGGGUAUAUCUUCUGCGCUGCACAUAGGUCUAUCAUUUCUUGGGUAUCCUUUGUUCCUCCCGUUAGGCUACCUGAAACAGUUCUCAUAUCUGCCAAACGUUCACCACGAGCAACUUAGUUCACCUAUCAGGUAUGAAAUUUCAUUUAGUAAUCAGAUUUGAGAACAAAAACAUACGGUGGUUAAGGCUGGCUGGACUAAAUUUAACUUCGCUCGAGCCGACCAAUGCUAGAAUGCCACCCGUCUUCAAAACAGACAUGUAAGGAUCAAAUGGGUGAUUGCCGGCUGCCGUGUCGAUUAUAAAGUCUAGGGACUUAGCAAUGGCCUGCGUGCAUUGGAUUUAUCAGAUCACAACAGAAUUUGACCACCAUGGAUCUCAAUGUGGAUAAUUCUAGUUUUUCCUUUUUUUACCUUCAUCUGCUCUACGUCAGAUGAGAUAACGAAAUGGUCAGCCCCAAGCAGGCUCAGUGCUUCCUCCUUUUUAGAAAUGCUUGUACUGAACACUGUGACUUUUAGUCCAAAAGCCUUCCCAAACUUAACUGCCAUAUGACCGAGCCCGCCAAGUCCAAUUACACCUAGAGACUUACCGGGUUGGUUCAUCUUGUGACGUAUCAUUGGAGUGUACACCGUGAUUCCAGCACAGAGCAGUGGCGCUGCUAGAUCCAUCGGGUAGUUUUCUGGAAUCCUGAAGCAAUACCUGUCAAUGAAGCACCACAAUUAAGUUUCCAAAUAACACCAAGAGAGGAAGUGAUUUCCCAAUAGAAUCAGCAUCCUGUCUUUUUUGUCUAAAAGGAAUCAAAUCACAGAGCCAGAAAUCCUAUCUUCCGCAUGCUUGGGAAUGUUACUUGCUUAGACCACAAUUCAGCAUCAUGUUGUUUCCGUGAUCCUUGUUCUGACCACAAAUUGCUCAAGACAAACAUUUCUUGCUGUAGCAACGAAAAUAACUCGAUUAAAAUUAAGAAAAGACACUUGCUCUAAGAAAGGAAACUGGUGGCAUAUCACAUAUGCUUGACUGAACACGUAAUUUCUCUAUUUCUUUCAAUCAAUUCCUCCGAAGGACUCAAGAUUCCUGUGGCUCUAUCAGAUACAAGAAUUAGUGAAAGCACAUACAUUUAGCUACCCAUUUGAUCUUAUACUUAUGAUCUAACUUUAACAAUCUAAGGACAGCUUAUUCCAUUCUUGACAAUGGUUAUUGAAAAGAAAGAAUUUCUUUUUGCAUUUAAUAAAGCCAAUUCUCCAUUGAAUGGUCUGAAUGGUAAUUGGAUACAGAGGACUUAAAGACCCUCCAGAGCCGUUAUAGAAAGUAUCUUUAUCCUUUUCCACAAGAUGCAUUAUGCUACUUCUGGUCACAAUCAGAAUACGAAGAAAAUUAGCAGAGAAGAAGACAUGACAUGAAAUCUUUUUUUGGCCACCAUGAUUUGAAAUUCUUUCACAGUGCAAAAUGCUGCCUAAUAACAUUGUGUUAAUAAGCAAUUACCUUUCAUGGACGACAAUGUGACUAGAAUAUCCUCCCUUUGUCACUGUACCGUCCGUAUCGAUUCGGUCAAAAGUCAAAACCAUCUUUUCACAAUGGACUUCUAGCCCGUCAUUGCAAUACUCGCACUCUCUGCAUGAAUUGACAUAAGUUCCCACACCCACAUGAUCGCCAACUUUGAAGCGUUGGACACUGGAGCCAACCUGUUUCACAAUUCCAACUAUCUCGUGCCUGAAUCAAUCAAAAAAGUCAUUCGCAAAUUUUGUUCAGAGAAUUAUUAGGAUGGUGCUAAGAAAAAAGAUUAACAUUCGAAUCACGCUGCAUCCUACCCUGGCACCAGAGGAUACUUGGAGGUUCCCGACAUAUUCCUAGUCCAAGCCACAUCUGCAUAGCACACUCCGCAGUGCGUGAUCCUAAUCGAGACGUCAUCGCUUCCCACGGUCCUAAAGAGAGAAUUCCCAAACAGAUGAGCAUCUAAUCAAGCAACUAAUCAGACUCAGUUACCUUUUGUUCUCAUUUUUCAGAUCAAUAAACUAAGCGUGACUUACAAUAAUCAUACAUUCAACCCAAAAAAAAAUUUAAGAAAAGAGAAAUGAAAAGGAACCAAAUCCAUGACUAUAGGCAUUUGUCUGAAUAGUACAUACAACCUCAAAUGCUCACAAAGGCAGCACCCGAAUCCUAAUGUCUGCCAUGAAGUUCUAAGCAACUCAUUCUGGGACAUGACAUAUCAUGCGUACAAACAAUUCUCUACCCAGAAAUUAGUGCAUACACAACAAAAUUUAUAAAAGAAAAACGAAAUGGUUUGGUCAAUGUGGAAAUUUAAAUAUAUGACAAGCAUCAAAAACUGUUUUGCAUUACAGGUGAGAGGAUAAGACCUGAGAACACUGUAUUGAGACUUAUUCAGACAAAUACUUCAAUAGAAAUUGAAAGUAUAAGGAGCAGAUGAAUUAAAUAAAGAACAGUGGUAACAGUAAUACCUGCGGCUGAAUUUGUAGGGGGAGAGACGUCCAGAAGGAUCUCUGGCAGCCCAACCAAGACAAUCUUCCUUCGCACCCUCUGAACUCAUCGUUCCUCACCGACCUCAACUGAAAUCGACCCACAAAAAAAUUGCUGUGUUAAUCUCUCAAUAAGCUGAAUUAUGGAAGAAGAAGAAGAAUUAUUUUCGUGAAAGAGAAAUGAAGAGAAAAUCAAACCGGAAAACAGAAGUUCAAAUGGUCAAAAGGCCAAAUGUCACGAAGACUUGGCAAUUCCGUUUCCGUGCAGACAAGAUUUUGCGGUCUGACUUUUGAGCAAAGAGCGAGAUUAGCAGAGAGCGAGGUUGAGCGCUCAAAAACCGUCACCUCUUUAUAGAUGCCAUAGCGUCGCCUGUUCUUGAUUUUUUUUUUCGUUUUAUCUUGUGGAAAAGAAUUAGUGCCAAACGUAAGCCAUUACCCUUCACUAGCCAAUGAAGUAUGCAGUGACGUCUUCUGGAGUACGGUUCUUGGUAUUUUUAUUUAUCCUCCCAAUAACAAUUGCAUUAUUAAUUUAUUCACACAUUAAAUAUGUCAAUAGGCAACAUGUUGACGCAUAAAAUAUGUCAUGAUCCUCUAGUGGUAUGUAUUCGAUUCAUCUAUUUUAAGAAUAUUCACCUUCAUCUAUUUUAAGAAUAUUCACCUUCUUCAAAGAUAGUGUUAGUAUAUGCGGAAACAUGUGUUUGAUAUGUAUGCAAGCAAAAGAACUAAGGGACAAUGUGAGCAAGAAAUAGUGGGACAAAGUAAUAAUAGGAAUGUGUAAAAGAGAAUGAGGCUGAGGCGGUGAAGGAGAGAAACUUGAAUGGAAGUCAACAAUAGUGGCUGAAGAAGAAACUAGUAUGUGGACAGCAAGAGUACUUGGAGAAGAAGAAAAUGAGUUGUCAGCUGUACUAUGGCCUAUGGCGGUGAAAAAGUCAAAAAUGUCAUGCUUGAAGUCGGUUGUAAUUGCCUAUAAAUAGGCUUGUCGUUCAUUUAUUUGGUGUGUGUGAGGUGAACCCUUCACCUUGUGUGGGGGUGAACCCUCCACUGUGAGAGGUCUUAAACCUCCGCUAGGACCAUAUGGAGAGUGACUAUUCAACACCUCCAUCAAAUUAUUUUGUCUUCUUCAAUAAGUUCUUGACAGCUGGAGUUUGAUGAAGAAACUUUGCUUCAUGCUUUCCGCUACUUGCUAUUUCCGAUGCACGUAGACUUCUCUAGCCUAUUCUAGGAUUUCUUCUUCAACUUGGGGUUUGCUUGCUUGUAUUCCCAUGUGAAUCUUCUAGGUUCAGCUAGCAACCACCAUUCUCAACAAUUCUAGACAAUCUUCAACAUGGAUGUUGCUACCAACGUUCUCGCCUUCAUGAUUAAGUUAAUAGUUUCUAAACAGUUUUAGAGAAAAUGGAUCAUAAUUUUCAACAUAUAGUAUUUUGGAGAGAAAAGUAUUUCAGCAGAAUUGUUCAAGGAUUUACAGAUCACUACAAUAUCACCGGAAGCAAAUAAUUAUCCAUCAUUGACAUGAACGAUAUAGCAAAAAUUCUUUUACUUGUUUACCUUAAGUUUAGCAAGAUCUGCUUAAACGACAACCUUGAGUAUCUUCAAUUCCCUUUCUCUUGCCUUCAAAAAGAUAUUGAAAUGCAACGCAGAAUCAAGACAGAUUGUCAUUAACAAAGCUGUAAAAGCCUACUCAAUCUGGCAAAAUUGGGGACAGUGUUUUCCAGCGAUCUUGACUACCUCGGUAGCUGCUGUGCAAAUGGAUAGGAAUGCAUGCAGAGGGACAAGCUGAUUGUUACCUACUUUUAGUCAUUCAUUUGAAACUGUAAGAUUCAUGUGCCAUAAGAUAGCCAAACAAGCGGGCAAAAAAUGAUGUGCCUUGCACCGAAGGUGGCAAGAGCAAUUAGAUUAAAUUCAAACCAAAAAAAGCUUGAUGCAUAAAAUGAAAAGUCAUCCAUUGAGCAAAAAAGGGUGCGUUUGGUAAGGUUUCUGUUUAAAAAUUGUUUCUGGGAACAUAAAUAAAAAAAAGUGUUUCUGUUCCAAGGAACAAGUUUUGAACAAAAAAACGCAUUUGGUAAAUCUGUUCUAGAAAUAUAAAAAAAAUAGAAACACGUUUGGUAAGUUUGUAUAUUUUUUUUUAUUUCUUUUAAUUUUUAAUAUUUUUAUUUUUAUUUUCUAUUUUCUUUCUUAUUUUUCUUAUUUAUUUUUCCUUUUUUUCUUAUUUAUUUUUCCUUUUUCCUUUUUUCUUCUUUUGGCCGGUCGCCGGCCUCGGCCAUGGCCGACGACCAGCCGACAAGGGCCGGCGGCCUCACCCAGCCAUGGCGAGGCUCGCCGGCCGCUGGGCGAGCUCGGCCUCGCUAGAUCUGGGCGAGAUCGAGCUCGCCCAGCCAGGCGCGAGGUCGGCCUCGCCGCGCUGUGCCGACGGUGACCCAGAGCCACACCAUCGUCUCCCUCCACCGCAUCGGUGACCGCGCUCGACGCCUCCUCGCCGCCACCGGAUCGGCGACCACCCCUCCGCCUCACGCCCGAUUGACGCAUCUGCAGGUCUCGAGCCUUCGUUCACCACCGCCACAUCAGAUCUCACCACGCCGUGACCCACGGCUUCGAGAUCCGCUCGAUCGUCGACCCCGCGCCGGCCCACGACUCGACCGGCCGUCCUCGCCGCUCCGCUCCUAGACGUCCGCCGCUCGAGACCCCACGGCCGAGCCCCGCACCGCAGCCGCCGCCGCCGCCCAGCGACCCGCGACCCAGCUCCGUCACCCGCUCACAGGUGGAGAUGCUCGCAGCGGCUGUCGGCGCCGGAGAGGACGACGGUGGAGAAGCCGGAUGGUCUCGAGACAGAGGCGGCUGUCGGCGCCGGAGAAGACGACGGUGGAGACACUUGCAGAAGGAGAGGCUCGCAGGAGAACACGAUUUUGUUUCUUUUUUGUUCUUCAAAUAUGUUUCAGAAAUAAGAAAUAAGAAAUUCUUGUUUCUUAUUUUUGUUUGUUUCUUAUUUUUGUUCCCUUUUUGUUUCUAGGAACAAAAAAACAAAAAAGAAACAGAAAUGCACCCAAACGCGUUUCUGUUCCUUUUUUGUUCCCAGAAACAAAAAAAUAGAAAUUUUUGUUCGUGGGAACAGAAACACGGUGCAAACAAACGCGCCCUAAAUGACAAAGUAAGUGCAAUGAGAGUCAUUGAUGUUCACGCCAAACGUAUGCCAUGACCAUUCCUUAGCCGAGAGAAUGUAAGCAGCGACAUCUUCUAGAUAGUGGUUACUGGCAAUUUUUUUUUUUUUUAUCCCCGGCCUGAUCAAAUUAUCCGAGUUAUAAACUCAGAAAGAAGUUAAUGAGCAAUCUACCGCUAGGACCUAUGAAGGGUCAUAUGUUGUUGGUUACACAUCGUGUUGGAAUAUAAUAUACGGAAAUGAAAAGAUCUUGCAAUUUACGUCAACGUGCAAACUCCAGAAAAAUAAAUGAGAAAUAAUAAGAACACCAUAACUUUACGUGAUUCGGUCCGAGUAUUAGUACCUACAUUCACGGGAGAGUUAGCAACAAAUAACCCACUAUAAUAAAAAAAUCAGAGUUUACAAUCGCUCACAUGCUUGAGUAUUUUCUACACCUAGAUUUCAACUCAAGAGUUUAUAAAUAAACAACUCAUUUUAACAUAAAUUCACGACAUAAAAUUACCACUCGUUCAAAAACAAAAUGCUCUACGUACGCCAAAAACAAGAAUUCCAGCAUUUAUCUUUUGGUUCGCGUAGAUACGGAUUUGUGUUCUUCUUUGCUUGAUCGUGCGGCGCUAUUCUAGACGUUCCUUUUGGCUCUUUCUUCUUCGUAGGGCUUCAGUAACUUUUUCUAUAAAAAAAAAAAAGGACGUUCUAUUUUAUAUAUGUGCCUAGAGUCAACAACUUUGACUCUGGGCCCACCAUGUGCUUCUUUCUUCAGUGGGAAGUGGGACGCUGCAGGUAAGGCGAAGAAACCUUCCUUUUAUUCAUUUUUCUUCAUAUUUCCUUUAUUUUAUGGGAUAUGUUUGGCAGAAGUCCUAAAACUUGUCCAGAAAGUGCAAUUGAGUCCUAAAACUUACAAAAAGUUCAAUCAAGUCCUAAAACUUGUCAAAUUGGUUCAAUUGAGUCCUAAAGUUAACACCGUUAAGAAAAUUAACAGAAAUUGCUGACGUGGCGCUGACGUCAUAUUUUAAAUGAUCUUUUUUAUUUUUCAAAUAGCUUUUUUAAAUUAUUUUUAUUCAAAAUCUUUAAAAAUUAGAUUAAAAACUAAAAAGGAAAAUCUAAAUUUAUUAAAAAAACAAAAUUGUUCAAAAAAAAAAAAAGAAAAAAGGGCGGUGGACUUUCGCCGCUGCCCAUCGCCGAAGGGGCCGGCGAUCGUCGCCGGCCCUGGGCGGGGGCGAUGGUCGCCAUCCCUUGCCUGGGGCCGAGCAACCGUCGCCCGCCUUGGGCGAGGCCUCGUCGGCCCUCGCUUGGGGUCGGCGAGGCUCGCUAGAUCUGGGCGAGCCUCGCCCUCGCCAGCCACCCCUGCCCAGGGCCGACAACUGUCGCUCGGCCCCUUCGGCGAUGGGCGGCGGCGGCGGCGGCGGCGGCAGCGGCGGCGGGGAGAAGAGGGCUGCUUUUUUUUAAAACAAUUUUAAAAAUAACUUUUAUAACUUUUCUUUUUAAUUUUUAGAUAAAAUGAAUAAAUUUAAUUUUUUAGUUUUAAUUCUUUUUUUAAAAAUGAAUAAAAAUCAUUAAAAAAAUCCACGUGGAAAAUAAAAAAUAAUUAAAAAUGAUACGUCAGCAUUUUUAACAGAAAAAGCUAACGGUGUUAACUUUAGGACUUAAUUGAACUAACUUGACAAGUUUUAGGACUUGAUUGAACUUUUUGUAAUUUUAGGACUCAAUUGCACUUUUUGGACAAGUUUUAGGACUUCUGCUGAACAUAUCCCUUAUUUUAUAUAUGUUGUGUGCCUAAAGUCAAGACUUUUGACUUUGGGCCCACAUAAAUAACCUUGUUUGGCUCCCGUAGAUAAAGAAGAAACUUUGUUCUUUUUAUUAUUAUUAUAUUUUCUUUCCUCUUUCGUAAACCUUCACAAAGUCCAACAAAGCUUCUUCUAUUGAUCGAAACAAUCAAAGACCCAAAAAGAAUUUCGAAUUUAUUUUCUUGUGCAUAAUCUUGAAUAUUAUCUUUAUCAGAAAAAUAUCUUCACGAUCAAAUAAUAAAAUUUUUAUCCAAGCGGAUCGCAUUUUGCAAAUACUCAAACUCGAGACAUAAUUUAACACAUCCGACAUGAUAUACUGCCCAAUUACUAUCCUCUGACAAUUUAUAUUUGAUUAAUCUAAUUCAAGAAUAUUCAUUUGUUAGACUUGUUGGCUUACACGCCACUGUCACGUGAUAUAUCCUAUAUUGAGAAUACUCAAUGAGCUUUGACUCUAGAUACUUGGGAGCAUCUAUGCUUGUUUUAUGUAUGUUAUGCUUGUGAUGCAUCUUGUUUUGAGUGGACUGUAGAAAUAUUUAAGUUCGUGCCAAUUUGACUAAUUUUUUAUCUGGAUAAGUGCAUUGGAAGAUUUAAAACUUAUCAUAAAAAUACAAUUAAGCCAUGAAACUUUGAAAUCAAGUUCUAGAACUUGUCACAUUGGUCUAAUCUAAAUCCUACCAUUGCAUUUUUGAAAAUUUCGGUACUUAACUGCAAUUUUCUAACAAGUUUUAGUAUUUCCAAUAUACUUUUUUUUUUUCAACCUCAGUAAUGUUUUUAAGCAACAAUGAGCUUGACAUAUCUCUGUUUUCGGAAUUUCAGUGGCUAUAGGAAACAAAAGGACGUCCUCUAAUGAAUCAACAAUCUUCUGCCAUGACAAAGCUGGAAGAGAGAUGAGUGUCUUCCAUAGUUAUAAAAAAUGUUCAUGCAAUAAUCUGUAGGAAUUCGUCUUCCUGACGUGCAUGAACAUUUCCGGCCAUGAAACAUUUCACGGUGAAGACAUUCUGUCACUUAAACCGGCAAAAGGAUAUCGAGCUUGUUCUUUUGGCGAGUGUAUUGCCGUCAAAUAUGCCUGAUUAAUUCCACGACUAUUAGCAUUUGUUUAAAUAGAGCAUACAACCUAAAAUGCUCACAAAGGUAGCUGGUACUGGAUCCUCAUGUCUGCCCAUGAAAUUCUGAGUGCCUCAGACAUGGCAUAUCAGGCACACAAACAAUUCUCAACCCAGAAAUUAGUACGUACACAACAAAAGUUUAAAAAAAAAAAAAUUGGUUUGGUUAAUGUGGAAAUUUAACAUCAUGACAAGCAUAAAAAACUGUUCAGCAGUACAGUAGAGAGGUCAAGACCUGAGAACACUGUAUUGAGACUUAUUCAGAUGAACACUUCAGAUAGUCACUGAAAAGCUAAGGAGCAGAUGAAUUGAAUAAAGAACAAUGGCGAUGAUAAUACCUGCGGCUGAAUUUGUAGGGGGAGAGAAGUCCUAGAAACCGUCAUAGAUGCCAUAGCGAUGGAUGUUCACGAUUAAUCUUUGAGCUUACUAUUGUGGAAAAGUAUUAGUGAUUCGCCAAACGUAACCCAUGACCCUUCCUUAACCAAAGAACGCAUGCAAUGACAUCUUCUGGAGAGCGGCUCCUGGAAUUUUUCCAUCCACAACCUAAUUGCAUUAUCAACCUACUGACACAUAAAAGAUGUCAAUAGGCAAUGUGCUGUUGCACCACUGGACCCGCAAAUGGUCAUCAAUGUCGGUUAUACCGCCAAUAAUUUGUACCUGACCCUUCAUAGUCGUAUUAUUCGAUUAAUCUAUUUAAAGAACAUUCAUUUUCUUCAAACAUGCUUUCUCACGUGCCACUGUAAUAUGAUGUUUUUGAUACACAAAAUACUAUCUCUUCAAGAGCUUUGACUCCUAUAUACUUGGGACAUUAAAUUGUUUUAGCAACAAUGAGCUUGGGAUAUCUCUGUUUUCGGGAUUUCAGUUGCUAAGGGAAACAAAAAGGACGUCCUCUAAUGAAUCGACGGUAUUUUGCUAUAACAAACCUGGAAGAGAGAUGAGCGUCUUACAUAAUUACAAAAAAAUGAUCACGCAAUAGUUGGUAGAAAUUUACUCUGCUGACGUGCAUGAACAUUCUGAACAAAAAACGGAAAACAUGCAUGAACAUUUCCGGCCAGGAAGCAUUCACGAGGAGCUGAGAGACACUCUAUUUCUUAAAGCAGCAAAAUGAUUACGAGCUUGUUCUUUUGGUGAGUGGAAUGAAUAAAUUGUUCAAAAAAUCCUAAACUUAUUGUCCGACCACUAAUUUAAUUCUAAACGUUUUAAUUUGAUCAAUGUUGUCUAAAACUUUUGACAAUUUUUUGUAGUCCACCUAGUUAAAUUUAGGUCGAAAAUCAGUGAUGAAGCAAUUUAGUAAACACUAGCUGUUUUAAGUGAUACAACCGAUAGCUGAUAUAGAUGAUCUUAAAUGAUGUGGCGUCGUUUCACAAUUUUUUAAUAUUCUUUCUUUUUCUUUUUUAGUAAUUUUUUUUCCUAUUCUUUCGUUCUCUAGUGUUCAUUUUCUUCCCUCUGCCGGUGGCCGAUGCCUCAGCAAUGACCGGCGACCAUCAUAGGCUACAAGUGAGGGCAUUGAGCGAGACUUGCAAGCCUUCUCCUAGAUUUGGGCAAGGGCCCUAUAGGCCCUCAUUGGCCGUAGGCAAGGUUGGGGACUUGCAAGCCCUUGCCUAGAUCUACCCUCUAAUGGGGUCAAUGCCUGCCAUCACCAAAGCCUCAAUGUCUUGCUCUGGAAAGAAAAUGAACAGCAGAGAAGGAGACAAUAGGAAAAGAAAGAAAAAAGAAAAAGAGAGGAAAGGAAAAAGGGAAAAAAUCUGAAAAUAAUAACAAAAAAUUGCAAAAUGACGUUGUUUCAUUUAAGAUCAUCCAUGUCAAUUGCCAAUCAUGCAACGUGGCCUACCUUGUUGGAUGUAGUAGAUUUAGGAUAUUUUGAAUAUUUUUCUCCUAUUAAAUAUGCCCGGUUUAUUUGAUAUCCUAAAAUUUGUCAACUUUGUGAAAUCAAGUUCUAAAAUUUGUUGGCACUCUUUUCAUAUUGGAUGAAGUUAAUGAAAUGACUUGAUUACAACUACUUGGUAAGUUUUAUGACUUGAUUGUAAUUUUUGAAAAUUGUCGGACUCAAUUGCAUCUCUAUAAUAAGUUUUAAAACUUGAUUACGCUAUCUAAAAAUUUUAAGAUUUUCAAUAUACUUAUCCCUAAAAUAAAAUAAAAAGGGCCUACCCCCUUUACAUGAACUCUUUAAUUUAAACGCACCAUGGAAUUUCCUGUCCUUUUACACAAUUUCAUUAACUAAGAUUUUAUUUUAUUUUUUGGGUUAAAACCAAGAUUUAGUUCUUCUUCUUCUUUUUUUUCGGACCAGCCAAGAUUUAGUUCAAAGAUAGAUAUUUUGAGGAGAAAAAAAUUUCAGCAAACUAUGCAAGGAUUUGCAAAAGAUCGCAACAAUAUUACCGGAAGCAUAUAAUUAUUUAUCACUGACGAAUGAUAUAGUAAAAAUUCUUUUAGAAGUUUACCUUAAGUUUAGCAAGAUCUGCUUAUUCGGCAGCCUUGAGUUUCUUCGAUUCCUUCUCUCUUGCCUUCAAACAGAUAUAGAAAUGGCAACGCAGAAUAUCAAGAUAGAUUGCCAUUGACAAAGCUGUAAAAGCCUACUCAAUCGAGCAAAACUGGGACAGUUUUUCCAGCAAUCUUGACCACCUCCGUAGCAUGCCGUGGAAAUAGAUAGGAACACAUGUAGAGGGACAAGCUGAUUAUCACUUGCUUUUAGUCAAGCAUUCGAAACUUUGAGAUUCAUGCACUAUAAGAUAGCUAGACAAGCAAAAAAAAUGAUGGGCAUUUCAGUUGAGGUGUCAAGAGCAAUUAGAUUGAAUUCAAACCAAAUAAAGCUUGACGCAGAAAAGAGAAAUGUUGUGCAUUGAGCGAAUAUAUGACAAAAUAAGUGCAAAGAGAGUCAAUGAUGUUCUAGCGCUUUGGCCAAUUGAGUUCUUAAAAUUUUACUUUGCUUAAUUGAAUCCUCGGCCUUUUCAAUUUCAGUCAAUUGAGUCCCUCAACCUUGAUCCUCGGAAAUAGUCACAUGGCUAUGAUUUUCCAAGUUGAUAAGAAGAUGCUCGAGAAGAAAACCGGGUAGGAGGUGAAAUGGGACCUAAGUGCAAGUUUUACUAUUUCAGUAACUACAAUUGAUCUGACAGAAGGUUGAACUUUCAUGGAUCUGGCACUUCGUUUGAAGCUAUACAAACAGAAAUCAGCGGGCUCAAGAAGCCAAUCUUUUAGACAGUUUCUGAAUUAUCACACAGAAAAGCACUAGGAUAUCUUUACACAUUCACUUAUUAUAUCCUCUAUAAACUAACAGUUAUUAGAGUAUAUUAGGCAUCAUUUAUUUGUAGUACAUUAGGUACAGAUGUCCUCUCUCUGAAAUUCCCUCUUUUCCUCUUCUUACGAUUAGCUUUGCCAGAAGAUGUUUCCAACUUCCGACAUUGAUGAUGUCAUUUCAAGGAGUUCUCAAUGUUUAUCACAAAUCGGUACUUAACAUCUCUCUUGAUGAGCCCCUCAAGGGCUUCAUUGGCAUAAUCGAUCAGUAUCACUUCGAUUUCUUGGUGUAUGUGCUGUGGCGCACAGAGGUCUAUCAUUUCUUGGAUAUACUUCAUUCCUCCAGUAGCGCUACCCAAAACUGUUUUCAUACCUGCAAAAAGUUCAUUGUGAGCAACUUAGUUGGCUUGCCUAUCAGGUAUCAAUAUUUCAUUCGGUAAUGAGCUUUGAGAAUAAAAACAUACCAAGGUUAAGGGAGGAAGUACACUAAUGGUGCCAUAAGUUAUGUACGGCGCUCACUUUGGUGUCAAAAAUUUUUGUCGGAUCACUUAAGUGCCAAAAAUUUUGAAAAACGAUCACUUUGGUGCCAUCGUCGAUUUGGUUGGUCGGAAAUCUGACGUGACAAUUUUUUAUUAAUUUUUUAUGCCGACGUGGAUCGUCGGAUAAUACAAUCAACAAACAAAGAACAAAACGAUGCCGUUUACCAUUUUCCCCCAAAUAAAAACCCCUAAAUCCCUAAUUUCGACUAGAACUGGAAGUUGAAAACCCUAAAUCCCCAAUUCGACCAUUUCGAGUGCAUAUUUCGAUUUUCUGCCAAAGUUAUCAACUUGCUUUUGCAAAUGGAGGACAAAAGUUUCAACAGUGGCUCGCAUUCCUAUAAGAAAAGCGAAUUAGAUGGUGAGUGUUACUGUUAUUGUGGGUUACCGAGUCCGAGAAGAAUAUCUUGGACUUGGUUGAAUCCCGGGAGAAGAUUCCAUGGGUGCGGCAGAUAUAGAGAAAGCUCGAAGUGCCAUUAUUUCAAAUGGGUUGAUAGGAAAUUCUCUAAUCGAGCGACAUAUGUGAUAUUGGAGUUACUUGAAGGCCAAAAUCAACCUCCAUCUAUGUUAAUGGACGAGCUGGGGGAUGUCGACUCAAUACAAGCUCAAAUGAAGGGUUUAACAUCUCUGAUGGACCAUUUGAAGAGAGAGGUUUCAAGGCUGAAAAUUGAAAGAAACUUUAUCGAGCGUUGAUUGUAUUCUUAUUCUCUUGGGUAGUUUAUUCAAAUGUAAAGUGAGUAAUGAGAAGAAAUUUGUAUGUCUACCAUAGUCGAAGACGUGGAAUAUGCACUUGUAUUGGAUUAUUUAUAAGUAAAAUGUGUUUUUUGGUUUGUUGCAAUUUUUAUAUAGAGCAGAAUGUUUUAUUGUUGUAAUCUAUAGGUAGAAAUGUAAGGUUGGACUUGGAAUGCAUUAGUUGUGAGCACUUAAAAAGUUUUGUUGUUUAGUUGUGUAUUGUCAAUGUUUGUUUUUGUUAGUUUUUACUUCAAAUAUAAUGGUUUACUGCAUUUUUUAUUUGGUAAUAGUUUGCUGCAUUGAAAGCAAACGGUAAUGGUUUGCUGCAUUUUUUAUUUGGUAAUGAUUUGCUGCAUUGAAAGCUUUUGAUAAUGGUUUGCUGCAUUUUUUUUAUUUGGUAAUGGUUUGCUGCAUUUUUUAUUUGGUAAUGGUUUGCUAGUUUGCUGGUUUGCUUCAACUGUUAAACCAUGGCUGAAUGGCCGAAAUUAAAGAAUGGUGCCAAAUUCACGAUUGAUCAUUUCAGUGCCAUAAGUUGUAAAUAGUGAUCGCUUAAGUACCAAGUUUUUAUAGAAGUGAUCAUUUAAGUGCUAGUCGCAAUUACAAAGUGAUCACUUAUGUUGCACAAGUUUUUUAAAAAAUAACAUGUUAGUGCCAAACGUCACAUUCCAAAUGCACAGAGUUCUUGCACCAGUUGAGUUGCUGGUGCAUCUUCUUGCACCAACCCAUACAGAUGUCGAUGCAACAAGAUGUACCAGCACCCAAAGUGCUCUUGUAGCAGCACAUAUAAUCAGAACCCCACAAAUUCAUUAUAAUCCACAACUUUAACCAACAACAGCAACAUUGCAGCAACAACAACAUUGCAAUAACAACAAAAAUAAAAUAUAUAGCAUAACUAACUUGCUAGCAUUCUAGCUAAAACCAACACAAGAGAAAAUGAAAAGUCAUUCCAGUACUUGCCAUUAACAUUGCUUGAUUGUUUACAAAAUACAAAAUACAAAAAAAAAAAAAAAAAACAUGUCUAACUUCACUCCCUAAUCAUCAAAAGUUCAGCACUUUCCUAAAAAAAAACAAUGGCAAUAUGCAAGCAGCAACUACCAUUGAUGAUAUAAUAUCCAGCACACUCCUAAAAAAAGAAAACAUGGAAAGAGACCAUGUCUAGCAUCACAUAAAAAGAGACCAUGUCCAACACCCUCCCAUCAGUCAAUAUUGACAACACCCUGAUCUCUUUUUCUUAUUAGAGCUUUGAAUUGAUUCAUAAUCCGAGCACUCUUUCGAACUGGAUGUGCAGGUUCUUAACUGGGCUUUCUGUCACCUCAUUUUCCUUUUCCUUGUUUUUUACGGCAGCUAUUUUUGUUCUAGCACGUAUCAUGUGUUGGUCCAUAUCAUCACUACUGCUCCCAAUCGUUGGUUGAGAUGGAACUAGUGAUGGGUUCUUUUUGGAUGGCUGUUUCGCAGCUAUACCCACUGUCUUCUUCUUCUUCUUCUUUGGAGCACUCUUCUUUGGAUGCGCCCUUAAUUCUUGAGUUGGCCCACCUUGAGAGAGAAGUACCUCUGAAGUUCUCCCAGGCUACAAGAACAUAAUGAUAUUGUCAACCAAAUGAAUUGAAGUACAACAAAUUAAAUGCAUAAGGCCUAUAAAUUUUACAUUCAAAAUAGUCAUUCCAGUACGUUCAUCUGUGUAAAUCCCAUAACCAUAUUGCCUUAAUUUUUUUCCAAGAGCCCCUUUUGUUCGCUGUGAUGCAUCAUUUUCAGCAACAACAAUCUGAUAUUGCUAGUAUGAGUACCUAGAGGGGGGUGAAUAGGUAUAUAAAGAGUUUUUCUCAAGCAAUUGCACAAUACUAGACAGUUGGAUGAAACGAUAAUCAAAGUAAGACUGAGAGAAGAGAAAAUUUAAUACGCGGUUUAUAGUGGUUCGGCUUAUAUCAAGCCUACGUCCACUCUUCUUCACUGACAGCCUAUUGGCUGGAUUCCACUAUGAACAAGAGAGAGGUUACAGCACAGCUUUGCCUUGAUUCCACAGUGUAGAUGUUCUACUACACCUCCUCAAGAUUUCUCACAAAUAUAGACUCUCUCUUUCGUAUACAAGUAUUCGCUCAAAGGAUUUGUCUAAACAAAAAGAAGUUUCAGACUUUGGAAUUCUUCUAUCGCGCACACCUUGAACAACUAAGACAGUCUUCCUUAUAUACUCCUUUAUGCCAUCAUACCCGUUGGCACUUACCAAAGGAAUUCCUCCAAUCUACCCGUUGAACGGAAUCAAUUAGGAAGAUUGUCCAAGCUAUAAAUGGAACGUGUUGAUAGCCCAUCAAUCAUGUUCGCCCAUACAAUCAGGAUCUCGGUUUCCAUAAGCAGAACCUUCCAAUAAUAUUUAGGCAAUCACCGGAUCUUCAAUUAUCGAAUCAAUCUUCGAUCAAUCAAAGGACUCCGUUUAUGUCUUCUCCAGCCAUGAGAUCUUCUCCAGUUGAUAAGGUUAAAUCCUCAACGAAACAUCCAGUUCUGGAUAACCUUUCUUCAACAAAUUAGAGACUGUCAAUGAGGAUAGACUUUGAGUCUUGAGUCUAGCUGUCCUAAGGUCUUUAGACUUUAAAUAGCAGAGUCUGCAAGCCUUCAGACUAGACUGAUAUAAACGAUUUGUCAACUUCAAAACACUUCAAGAAGAUUUCUCCAACAAUCUCCCCCUUUUUGAUGGUGACAAAACUUUCCUGCAGAUUUGGAUAUCUUUGACCUGCAAAACAUUUCUCAAACACAUAUACAUAUCUUAUAGAGGUAAAUGUCUUAACAGAAUAACACUAGAAUCUGCAACCACAGAAAAUAGGUUAGUCCAGUAUAUGAUGAAGCCAUCCAUAAGAUAUCAAUAUUAGUUAAUAGAAGCAGUCAAGUCCAAGUCUAGUUUACUUCUCAUCCAAACACAAACCAAAGUCAAAUAGAUUCAAACCACAAAACAAUCCAACAAAAACAAUUAAAAGUUGAAUGAAAGGUUUUUAAUCAAAUCUUGCAUCUCUCCCCCUUUUUGUCAUCAUUAAAAAGGAUGAGAUGAAGUUAAGAAUGCUUGGGAACGCGGACAAGCUGGAAAUCUUCCAUAGACUGAACAAUGCCUUCCAACCUUUUAAAGUCUUCCUUUAGCUGUGCAAUCUCCUCACUCUUGGCAUUGGCCUGAUUCUGAACAGAGAGGGCUUGCAUUUUAUCAUUCAAUAAACAGGAAGAAGCUUGACCUUCAUUCUUCAAGCUUUGAACUUCGCAUCCCAAGGCAUAAAUCUGACCUCGCAUCUCCAAAAGAAUAUCCAUGAUUCUGCGAAAAUCUGCUCCAUUAUCAGUUUGAGUACUUGCUUCGGCUCGAUCUGAUGGAGUAAAUGCAGAUGAUGGUAGAUCAGCAUAAUCUUGCAGGUUUGGCGAUGAAACUUCAUGACCUUCUUCUGGAAAUUGAGAUGCAUAAACAUCCUCUGGAUCUGCUGGUGAGCGACUGAUUCCUUCACUUGCAUCAGGACAUGAAGACUUCACUCCUUUCUCCUGAUCUCCCCCUGUUUCCAUGCCUACAGGUGGAGAAGAGUGUUCUUCAGGUUCUCCUUCUUCUCUUCUUUCUUCUUCAGGUCUUUCCUCCUCUGUUUCUUUUUCAGCUUCUAUUUCUUCUUCUUCCUUCUCCUCUGCUUCUUUCGUCAUUUGCUCCGAUUCUUUCUGUGGAACAAGACGACUUAAAUUCUUCAAAGCCAAUGCAGAGAUGGUGAUGUCUUCCUCAUCAUCUUCAUCCUCAACAAGGAGAGCUCUUCUUCUCUUGGAUGGAGCAACCAUGGGCUCCUUCCCUUUUCUUUUAGCUGCAGAAGAUAUUUGAUGAGAUUUUGCAGGAGUCUUCUCCUUGAAUUUCUCCAACUCCUUGCUCAGUUCUUUCAGACGCAUUUUGGUCACCAUUUUCAGACCUACCACCAUAUGAUCGCAUGGUCGAACACAAAAGAUUUGUAGAGGCUGAAUAUUCAGAUGUCUGAAUAACUUCGUAACAAGGCUUGGGUAAGGGAGUUGACCUCCGUCCUUCAUCAUUGCUCUAUACAUGUGAAACAUCACAGUGUGAGGGAGAGAAAACCUUUUUCCAAAGAGAAUGGCAUACAUCAACUUGGCCUCUGAACUUGAAACAUCAGUCUUGGAAGUCGAUUUCGGUCGGAUGCAAUUAAUCACAAUCUUGUGAAGCAAGAUGUUGAAUGCACCCAUCCUUAAGUAGGUGAUCUUUUCAUCUGUUCUCCUGUCCUUCACCAGUUCAAGAGUGGCCCGAGCAAUGGAAACUUUGAUUGGCUGAUAUCUUCCUCUUUCGACUUCUAACACAUCUGCCAGCAUAUUCAUAUCCACAACAUAAUCUUGGUUUUUAACGCUGAACGAGAAUCUAUUCGCAUCCAAAAAGCUUAGAUUUGAAUAGAAAUAUGCAGUUAAUUCAGCAUAGGCCUCUGUAGAGUCAGAGCAGAACUUUUCAAGUUGAAGAUAACUGAACUUUUCCCUCAAGUUCAUAUUCACAGCAUCCAGAAAAUCGAAAUCUACACUCCUAGGGUUUAUCACCCCACGCUUCAGCAAUUUCGAGUACAGAUCCUUUUGCUCCUUUGAUCUGAACAAAUCUCCCCUUUUUCCUUGGUUAUCAACCGCAACACCCAUUUUCGGUUGGAAUUGACUGUACAAUUUAUCAUCAUCAUUCCCAUCUACAGGAUUCGGCCCCCAGUCACGAGGAUCACUUGGGAUAUUUGCAAGGGUUUCCUCAGCCACCCCUUUUCGAGCAAUUCCCAAACUUUCCAUUUUUUUCAGAAAGAUAUAUUCGUUCCCAUGUCCUUUGUCUUUAAGAAAAUCAUCAAUGUAGUUCAAAGGAGUACGAAUUCCUUUUAGGGCACGAUAUAACUGGUAAAUAUAAGUGGGCUUUUGAACUCUUACAGGGUCUGCAUCCUCGAUGAUUUCUUCCUGUUGUUGAUGAUCAACGCCUUGAGGACUAGAUGGAGGAGAAUGACACUGUUGAGAAUGUUGUGGGCUCGCUUGCUGAUCUGGAGUCACUUCAUCUUCAGUAAGAUCGAAGUGCGUAGGCCCCUCACUCAUCCGCCGUGGUCCCCUGCUUGCAAUUCUCGAAGACUUUCUUGAAGAUGACAUCUUAGUUUUUGGAAGAUUCCUUGCUUGACUUUCCCAGGAAAGAUGACAACUUUUUAAGGAUUAAACGAAGAAGACAAACGGGAAUGGAGGAUCGAUGCUUUCUAGGGUUUUUGAGAGAAAAGUGAAGAGGAAUCGAUAGUUCACGAUCGGUUAAGAAGAGGGAUAAACGAACCAUCAUAAAGGAAAUAAAAAUAUGCCUUUUCAAAAUAACUGUCUUUUUCCGCAAAAAUAGCCAUUUCAAAAAUAACUUCCCUUUUGAAAAUGAAACGAUGCAAUAUUUACUUCAAUUAAAUAUAGCAACAAUUUAAACACAGUCUGACAAUCGUACCUUUUCAAGAUGAGAUUCAAGAGAGAAAGACUUACAGUCUGACGGACGUACCAAGACUGUCUUUCAGAUAAAGUCUUGUAAGUCUGAGUCUGAAAGUCUUUAGACUUUGAUAUCCUCAUACCUCAAAAUGUUGAGUCUCGAGCGUAUAGACUCAAAUUGAUUUUUCUCCAAAGGCUUUGUGAAUAUAUCCGCCAGUUGAUUCUUUGAGUCAACAAAUUGAAUUGAAACAUCUCCAUUUUGAACAUGGUCUCUUAUAAAAUGAUGUCGAAUCUCUAUAUGCUUUGCUCUUGAGUGGAGAAUUGGAUUUUUGGUGAGGUUGAUAGCGCUGGUGUUGUCGCAAUUAAUUUCCGUGCAUGAGUCUUCAAUUUCAAAGUCUCUUAGCUGUUGUUUUAUCCAUAGAAUUUGCGAAUAGCAGCUUCCCAGAGCUACAUACUCUGCUUCUGUUGUUGAAAGAGACACAGUGCUUUGUUUCCUUGAAAACCAAGACACUGUCCUGCUUCCAAGCAACUGGCAAGUUCCCGAAGUGCUCUUUCUAUCAACUCUGCAAUCGGCCAGAUCUGCAUCUGAAUAUCCCAUAAGAUUAAAGUCUCCCUUCUUAGGAUACCAAAGACCGAUGCUUGAUGAUGAAGCAACGUAUUUAAUGAUGCGUUUCGCAGCACUGAGAUGGGAUUCUCUAGGAUCUGAUUGAAACCUAGCAUAGAUGCAAACACUCAACAAGAUGUCAGGUCUAGAAGCAGUAAGAUAAAGGAGUGAACCAAUGAUGCUUCUGUACAGCUUUUGAUCAACUUUCUUCCCUUCUUCAUCUUUGUCUAUCUUCAAAGAACUUGACAUCGGUAUGUCGGUCUUUUUGCACUUUUCUAAUCCAAAUCUUUUGACAAGAUCAUUAACAUAUUUUUCUUGAUAAAUAAAGGUUCAUUCCUUCAAUUGUUUUACUUGAAGACCAAGAAAGAAUGUUAACUCUCCCAUCAUACUCAUUUCAAAUUCAUCCUGCAUAGACUUAGAAAAUUUCUUGCACAUAUUUUCAUUAGAAGAUCCGAAUAUAAUGUCGUCCACAUAUAUUUGAACAAGUAAGAAACUUUUGUUCUCCUUUUUGAUAAAUAAAGUAGUAUCCACUUUACCUUUGACAAAACCAUUUUGUAUUAAAAACUUACUUAAUCUGUCGUACCAAGCUCGAGGUGCUUGCUUUAAACCAUACAGAGCCUUCUUCAGUCUGAAGACUGAGUCUGGCUUCUUUGGGUCUUCAAACCCUGGUGGUUGUUCCACAUAAACUUCCUCUUGGAUGACUCCAUUUAGGAAGGCGCUUUUGACGUCCAUUUGGAAUAACCUGAAAUUCUUAUAACAAGCAAACGCAAGUAAUAGUCGAAUAGCUUCUAACCUUGCUACUGGAGCAUAAGUCUCAUCAUAGUCUAUUCCUUCUUCUUUCAUAUAUCCCUUGGCCACGAGUCUUGCUUUGUUUCGUAUGACUUUUCCUUUCUCAUUCAUCUUGUUUCUGAACACCCAUUUAGCUCCAAUAACAGUUUUACCUUUUGGUUUGGAUGUCAAUUUCCAGACAUCAUUAAUGCUAAACUGUCUGAGCUCUUCUUGCAUAGCUUCAAUCCAGCUUUCAUUAGAUAAAGCUUCUUCUAUGCUUUUUGGUUCAAUUUUAGAAACGAGAGCCACAACACUAGACUUUUCUCGCCUUUUGGAUCUAGUGCGAAUUCCUUCAUUCAUUUCGCCGAUUAUAAGAUCUUUGGGAUGACUGGACUUAUGCUUCCAGUUACUCGUUGAUCUGUCUGGUUGAUGAUUUCUUUCUUUGUUUGGAUCUUCACGAACAUCUUGAAGCUGGUUUUCCAGAGUCUGAGAUGCUUCUUGAGAUGUAAGCUUUGGAAGAUCUGGAGCAGGUUCAGACUCUUCUUGAUGAGUCUGACUUGAUUCAUCUUGUGUUGAGUCUUGGAAUUUGACAUUCAUUGACUCCUCCAUAAACUGGCUCUUCUUGUUAUAGACUCUGAAGGCUUUGCUUGAUGUAGAAUAUCCAAGGAAGAUACCUUCAUCUGAUCUUUCUUCAAACUUACCAACUUGAUCUUUUGCAUUUUUCAAUAUAAAACAUUUGCAACCGUAUACAUGAAAGUAUGAAACAAUAGGCUUCUUAUCUUUGAACAAUUCGUAAGGGGUUUUCUCUAGAAUAGGUCUUAAGAAGAUUCUAUUGAUGAUAUAACAUGCUGUUGAAACAGCUUCAGCCCAAAAUCGUGAAGAAAUCUUGCUUUCAAAUAAAAGAGUUCUAGCCAUUUCCUGAAGAGAUCUGUUCUUUCUUUCCACAACUCCAUUUUGCUGAGGAGUAUAUGGAGAGGAGAACACAUGAUUAAAGCCAGAUUCAUCACAAAAUUUUGUAAAAUCUUGAUUUUCAAAUUCACUUCCAUGAUAUGUUCUUAUACUUGAGAUAACACAUCCUUUUUUCAUUUUGAACCUUUUUAGCAAACUUUUCAAAAUACGAGAAGGUUUCAGACUUACUUGCAAGGAAAUAUACCCAAGUAAAACGGGAGUAAUCGUCCACAAUUACUAGGCAAUAUUUCUUACCUCCAAUACUCUGUGUUCUGGUUGGUCCGAAGAGAUCCAUAUGCAGCAACUGUAGUACAUGAUUAGUAGAGACAUGAUUUAUUGGCUUGAAUGAAUUUCUUAUCUGCUUUCCCAGAAUACAUGGAGUGCAUGGAUCAGUCUUUUGAUAAGGUAAUUUGGGUAGUCCUUGAACAAGCUGCUUUGAUGAGAUUUUGGCUAAUUGCUUCAUGUUAACAUGACCAAGCUUUCUGUGCCAUAAGCUUGCUUCGUCUUGAAUUGAGAUAAAACAUUGCGAUUCAUUUGGUUUCACAUCCAGAAGAUAAAUGUUUCCAUGUCUACGACCCAUGAAAGACUGAGUAGAGUCUUUACUGAUUCCAGAACAUAUUCCUUCUUGAAAAAAGAUCUUGAAACCAGUAUCACACAAUUGACUAAUGCUGAGAAGAUUGUAAUUGAGUCCUUCCACUAAGGAAACAUUACUUAUUGUGAGAUUUCCAAUUUUCACAGUUCCAAAUCCCACAAUACUCCCUUUGUUGUUUCCUCCAAAUGAAACUUUUCCACCAUUUACUUGAGCAAUCUUUAUAAAACAAUUUGAGUCUCCUGUCAUGUGUCUUGAGCAUCCACUGUCAAGAUACCACUUUACCUUUUUCUUGACGGUGACCUGCAUUUAAAAAAGAGUCUCAAGCUUUCUUUGGUACCCAAACUUUCUUGGGUCCUUUUGUGUUAGUAACAUAAGCAGUAUUAGCCCAUAUUCUCUUAACAGGUUUCCAAACCAUAGGACACUCUUUUUCAAGGUGAUCCGGACUGUUGCAUUUUGAACAUUUUAGAGCAUUUCUUCCUACAGAUUUUACAAAAACUUUCUUGAAGUGAUUUUUGUAAACCUCUCUCGAGAGUCUUUUCUUAAUUCUUUCUUUUACUUUAGGAAAAUCAAUCAGGGGAAUUGUUUCUUCUGUCAUACCUAAACCGGACUUAUUGAAGUAAGGUCUUUGAGCUGAAAGAAUUUUCUCAAGUUUUUCGGACCCUAUUGAAAAUUUCUUUGAGAUAUUUGAUAAGUCUGUUUUUAAAAAAGCAUUUUCUUUUAAAAGAUCAUCUUCAUUUUCUUUAAGAGUGGAAACAGUCAAGUCAAGACUUUUAACUCUUUCUACUAAAACAUUUUCCUUUUGUUUUAGAGCUGAGUUUUCCUUUUUCAGUUCGGAAAUUCUUUUGAGAGAAGUCUUAAGACUAAAACAUAAUUCAUCAAUAUAUUUAGAAACUUUGACAGGAAUUUUAAUAUCACUUGCCUCAAAUUUACUGUCUGAGUUUGAUCCAGAGUCUGAGUCUGAUUGUGCCAUCAGACAUAGAUUGGCAUAUUCAUUAUCACUUUUUUCACACUCUGUGUCACUCCAUGUUUUGGCUUUGAGAGCUUUUCGAAAUCUUUCAGCUUUUCCUUUCUUCUUUUUCAGAAGAGGACAGUUGGGUCUGAUGUGUCCCUUUUUCUUACAUUCAAAGCAGACUAUGUCUUUGUUUGGUUCCUCAUCAUCAACAGACUUGGUCUGCUGUCUUUGAAAGCUUUGUUUCUUUGAAUUGAACCUUCUUCCUUUUCUAUUCAGUUUUCUGAAUCUUCUUAUCAUGAGAGCAAGCUCCUCAUCGUCCAUAUCUUCUUCAGAAUCUGUAUCAUCAGAAUCAUUAUUUGAUUUUAAUGCAAUGGAUUUCUUACCUUUUGGAUCUUCAUCUUCAUUGAUCCAUUCCACUUCAUAAGACUGAAGAGUUCCAAUUAGCUCGUCGACAGAUAGUGGCAUAAUUCUUUGCGUCUCUCUUAUCGAAGUCUUUAUGUGAUUCUAAUCCCUGGAGAGUCCACGCAGUAGCUUGUUUACCUUCAUGGGAUCAGAAGUUGGUUGACCUUGAUUUUCAAGACCAUUCACAAUAUCUGUAAAACGACUAAACAUGUCAGAUAUAGAUUCUCCUGGUUUCAUUCUGAAGGCUUCGUAUUGACCAAGAAGAAUGUUGAUUAUAGUUUCCUUCACUCGAUCUGUUCCUUCAUAAGUGAUAUGCAAUCUAUCCCAAACUUCUUUUGUUGUACCACAAGAAGAUAUUCUAUUAUAUUCAGUUGGUGAUAAAGCACAAUAUAAGGAGUAAAUUGCUUUUGCAUCGAGUGCUUGUCUUUUGUUUAUUUCUUCCUGAGACAUUCCGCUGGUUUCAUCAGUUUCUUUUCCUCUUUCAGAUACUGAUGCAGUGGUAGGAGUAAUUCCUUUUUCUACAACGUCCCAUUCCAGAGGAUCCUUUGAUCGAAGGAAAGCUUUCAUCUUGUUCUUCCAGAUGUUGUAAUCCUUUCCAUCAAAGUAGGGUGGUCUGGUAUUGCUUUGCCCUUCCAUCAACCCUGGUGCUAGCAUACUAGCCAUGGAUCUUUUACUACGAAGUAAAACACUUCAAAUAAAGUAAGUACACAGGCUCUGAUACCAAUUGAUAUUGCUAGUAUGAGUACCUAGAGGGGGGUGAAUAGGUAUAUAAAGAGUUUUUCUCAAGCAAUUGCACAAUACUAGACAGUUGGAUGAAACGAUAAUCAAAGUAAGACUGAGAGAAGAGAAAAUUUAACACGCGGUUUAUAGUGGUUCGGCUUAUAUCAAGCCUACGUCCACUCUUCUUCACUGACAGCCUAUUGGCUAGAUUCCACUAUGAACAAGAGAGAGGUUACAGCACAGCUUUGCCUUGAUUCCACAGUGUAGAUGUUCUACUACACCUCCUCAAGAUUUCUCACAAAUAUAGACUCUCUCUUUCGUAUACAAGUAUUCGCUCAAAGGAUUUGUCUAAACAAAAAGAAGCUUCAGACUUUGGAAUUAUUCUAUCGCGCACACCUUGAACAACUAAGACAGUCUUCCUUAUAUACUCCUUUAUGCCAUUAUACCCGUUGGCACUUACCAAAGGAAUUCCUCAAAUCUACCCGUUGGACGGAAUCAAUUAGGAAGAUUGUCCAAGCUAUAAAUGGAACGUGUUGAUAGCCCAUCAAUCAUGUUCGCCCAUACAAUCAGGAUCUCGGUUUCCAUAAGCAGAACCUUCCAAUAAUAUUUAGGCAAUCACCGGAUCUUCAAUUAUCGAAUCAAUCUUCGAUCAAUCAAAGGACUCCGUUUAUGUCUUCUCCAGCCAUGAGAUCUUCUCCAGUUGAUAAGGUUAAAUCCUCAACGAAACAUCCAGUUCUGGAUAACCUUUCUUCAACGGAUUAGAGACUGUCAAUGAGGAUAGACUUUGAGUCUUGAGUCUGGCUGUCCCAAGGUCUUCAGACUUUAAAUAGCAGAGUCUGCAAGCCUUCAGACUAGACUGAUAGAAACGAUUUGUCAACUUCAAAACACUUCAAGAAGAUUUCUCCAACACAAUCCUUGUAGCAACCUCUGCAACUUGUGCAGUUGCUCGUCUUCUCACCUAAGAAACACAUAACAAAUGUAAAUUUUAGCCCAUAAAAAGGCCAAACACAGUGAUGUACAACUUACAGGAUAUUUUUUUCUUGUUUGCUCAACGGUGGACUCAGUUGUUAUUGUUGCUGUCUUACCAAUUCUAGUCCUUAUCCCUGCACUUGAGCCUACAACAUGGCCUUUUUCUGGCCCUUUAGUAGGCCUUACAACAAUGUGCUGUAUUAGGAUUAUGACCAACUACAACGAAUAAUUACACAUCUCAUUUUCAUAGUGGAAACACAUGGAGAAAACUUCUCAAAUUACAAGUGCAUGACAGAGGAAAAGCACAAGAGAAGCUAGUACACAUGGUCAACCAUCAAACUCUAUCGAAUAAGAACUGUAAAGUUACUGAGAUAAAGAGGAUACUUACCUUACAGUAUGGCUUUCUGUUGCCCUUUAGUAGACAUUACAGCAGGGCCUUCUGUUCUCCCUUCAAUAAGCCCAACAAGAAACUCUUUGUAAGUCAUGUCCCUGGCAUUGAAUCAACCAUUACAUCUUGCUAUUGAUACUGCUUUUUCAGCUCACAACCUUUCUUAUCGUGCCCUUCCUUGCGGCAAUAGGAGCAUUUCAUAUUUGAUCUAGUCCUACUCAUCCUUUGACUUGAUGCCUCUUCCUAUUGCAUUCUUCGUCUCUUUUUUGGCCUUCAUAUUUGCUUCUUCAGCGGUAAAGGUAGAGGGCUUUAAUGAUUUGUUGGCUCCCAAAAUUUGCUGCUUCUGAUAGGCUACAUCAUGAAUUGGUAUGAAGCAAGGUAUGAGCUUUUUUUGUACCAAUCAUCUAGGUAAUCAUCUAGGUUUUCUUGCUUCAUCUGAAUAGCACAAAUGGCAUGAGCACAGGGAAUUCCAUUCAGUUGCCAAGCUCGGCAUGAACACUUUCUUCUAUCCAAGUUGACAACAUACUUAUCAUGAUUUGGAAUAAUCUCAUACCCAUUAUCUUCAUUCCAAACUGGAUGGCAGAACCUACUAACAGCAAUAUUUGCAUCUAAUCUCUUCACAAUCCUAGGGCCACAGUCUCUACUCCAUUUUGUAGCAUCAUCUCUUUGCCUAUGCAGUCUAGUCAUAACCAUAACUCGAAUAUCAUCAAGCAUGCUGAUGAUUGGUUUGCACCUAGCCUCUAAAAUUCUACCAUUGAAAGCUUCAUUGAGGUUGUUAUCAAUGUUAUCGCAUUUGAACUCUUCGCUGAAGAAGACCCGACACCAGUGCUUAGCUUCUGUCUGGAAGAGUGUAUCAAAACCUUCAUUUGUCAGCUGUAACAAUCCUUGUUUCGCUAAUUUGAAAUCAACCAUAUUCGUACUCUUUGCUAUCUGCCAGAACUGCUUCUACAACAUAUCUCCUUUGAAGUUCCUUGACCAGUUUGCAUAUAUGUGCCUCGUGCACAUUCUAUGCUCAGCAUGUGGCAUCAACUCAGCCAAUGCAGGAAUAAGUCCAUACAAAAAUUCAAACCAAUAAAUACAAGUCAAGAAAAAUAUGCAAGUGAUUAAUAUAUAAAUGAGUGAUUAUUGACAUGAAAUUACCUUCUAUUGGUUGCUCAUGAAUGCCCAUCCUCCCCCAUCGGUUAUCACAAGGUCAGUCAUCAAAUUUUUUAGGAACCAUGACCAAAUAUCCUUGUUCUCUAUCUUUACCACCGCCCAAGUUAUCGGGAACAUUUAAUUAUUGGCAUCUCUCCCCACAGCAACCAACAACUCCCCCUUGCAUAAACCCUUUAGAAAGCAUCCAUCCAAUCCUAUAACUCUUCUACAACCAACCAAGAAGCCCCGUUUGCAUGCAUCAAAACAGACAUAAAAUCUAUCAAAUUUAGGCCAAAGAUCAGGGAGUGGCCUCUUCACAACCUCUACAUAUACCCUACUGGAUGGGUUUUGAAACAUGUAUUCACCAGCAUAAUUCCAUACCUGUGCAUAUUCUUCUUUAUACCCACCCAUCAAUAUUUUCAUCACCCUUAUCUUAGCUCUCUUACAUUGAUUCCUCGACACAUUAACCUCCACUUGCUCCUUCACUAAUUGUUGAAAUUGAGAACUCUUGAUCUCGGGCAUUGCUUUGAUAGUAUUAAAAAAAUUCUUUGAUAACCACACACUUGUUACCCUUUUAUUAUUAAAGAUAAUUGGACAAGUAUGCUCCUCCUGAAAGGACCUAAGCUAGAAUGACCUAUUCUUACUAAGCGCAGCAUAGAGCUUCCAUGAACAAUUAGGUUGUGAGCACUUAGCUCUCACAAAUUCCUUCGUGUUUCUAAUAAAUUUAACGCUCCUCUGUUCACCAAUUGAGUUCUUCACAACAGCUUCCUUGAACUGUUUGGCAUUGUCAAAUCUCAUGCCCACCGACAAAACAGGUUUAUCAACAGUUGAAUCAUAGAAAGGAUACUUACUUUUUCUUCGAGGAGCAGGUUCUUCAUCAUCAUUGUCAAGCUCAUUUUCCGAACUAGUAACUUCAUCGCCACAGCUUUCUUCAUCUUCACUUCUAUUACCCUCAGCUUGAUCUCCAUCCCUAUUUACUGGCUCGGACCUUUUUGCUAAAGCUACAAGUUUUUUUUUCUCAGAAAUUCCCUUUGCUUUUGUCUUGACUGUACGAGUUCAUCAUCAUCUUCGUCACUUGGAAAAUUUACUAAAGCCAAACAUUCAUCUUCCGAUUCAUUAGAUAAAGCAAUUUCCCAUUCUAAUCCAAUGAAGUCUUCAUCGCCCACAUCUUCACCCAAAUCUUCACCCAAAAUUUCAGGACAUCUCCCUCUUUGUUCAUCUCUAUCAAUAUGACUUAUCUCCCUCUCAUUUUGCCCUUCAUCUAACCUAAACUUAUCCCCGACUUGAUUACUCGUUUGAACAAGAUCCCUCACUUCUCCUCCUUCAGUGGUCGUCUGCUCAUCCACAUCCUCAUCCUCAUCCUCACUAUAAUACUCAACAUAUACCUUAACUUCUUCAUUGUGAAGAUAAUGGUAAAUGAUAUCCUUAAUACCAUUAUCGUUGUUAAAAAAUCUUAACCCAUCCUUCAAUUCCUUCCCAGGAACACAGUAAUGUAGUUUUUGCACUUUGCAUCGUAAAAAAUACACCAAAUCUCUCAGAAAAUCAAUAUAUGAUGGCUUCCAAACAUUGACAUAAAUAGUACCUUAAUUUCCACUAUUUUAUUAUCAAUCUUCAGUGCCAAUAACAAACUCUCCACCAUAGUAAACAAUGACGCUUACCUGAUUCGUGUCCAUGUCGAUGCUGCACCCAAUGAAAAAAAAAAGAGUCAUUGUCGUUUUGUUGGAACCACAUGACAGAAUCGACAACUUCACAUGUAGGUCCUUAUCGUUUUGUUGUCAAGGAACAAAUGCGACUAAAAUCUCCCCAAUUCGGUGGAUUUACAGAAAUAAAAGAAACCGAAUUAAAUAAACAAAGUGAGGUCCCCACCACUCAUUUUUCAAUUCAAUCACAUUCACAUUCGGUCCCCCACAAAAGCAGUCCAAUUAAUUAAAUAAAAAAAUUCGGUCCACCACUGUUUCCCUCCGAGUCAAGCCUCUCCGCACCAUUUUUUCUGUUCGGUCCUCACAAUAGAAAACGAACAAACGAUGGAAGAAUCAAUUUUUCUAUUCCGUCCCCAUAAAAGUGACAUCCCCACCACUUUCCCCACUACUUUCCGCUUGAGCCAAGCCCUCAAUUUGCCCUCCGUGCCCUAAUUUGCCCGUCGGAACCCUAAUUUUUUCGCAAAAUUGAUCCACGUAGAGAACAUGACAAACUUGAACGAUCGUGAACAAUGGCGCAACUACAACGGUGGCCAAGCGAUAGUGGGCGAGCGACAGCAGGCGAGCGAACGACGGUGGGUGAACGACAGUGGGUGAGCGAGCUCCGGCCAGCGUCGAGGAGAAUAAUAUACGAACCCUAUUUUACUCCCUCUUCAGCAACAUCGUUUUUUGCUAUGGAGCAACGCGGCGUCGUUUCUUAUGUGAAUCCACGGUGGAUGGCAAGAAACAACGUUGUUUCUUACAAAGAAAGGAAAACGGCGUCGUUUUAUGCUAUCCACCGUGGACAAUCUUAAGCCACAUCGUUUUUUUUUUAAAUAUAAAAGCCACGUAUUUAUUUUGGCCGAAAUUUCUCGCCAGUGGCACCAAAGUGAUCGUUUUUUCUCCGAUUUGGCACUUAAGUGAUUUGACGGAAACUUUUGACACCAAAGUGAGCGCCGUACACAACUUAUGGCACCAUUAGUGUACUUUUCCCCAAGGUUAAGGCUUGCCACACUGAAUGUAACUUCGCUUUGGGACCCAACCAACGCUAGAACGCCACCCGUCUUCAAAAGAGACAUGUAAGGAUCAAAUAGGUGAUCAGCAGAUGCCGUGUCGAUUAUAAAGUCCAGGGACUUAGCCAUGGCCUGCAUGUAUUGGAAUCAUCAGAUCACGGUAGCACUUGACCUUAAUGGAUCUAAAGUAUUGAUAAUUUUAAAUCUUCCCGCCUGCCUUCGUCUAUUCUUGGUCAGAUGAGAUAACGAAGUGGUCAGCACCAAGCAAGCUCAGUGCUUCCUCCUUUUUAGAAAUGCUUGUACUAAACAUAGCGAAUUUCAGUCCAUAAGCCUUCCCAAGCUUAAUUGCCAUGUGACUGAGCCCACCGAGUCCAAUUACACCAAGAGACUUACCCGGUUGGUUCAUCUUGUGACGCACCAUUUGAGUGUAUAUUGUGAUUCCAGCACAAGGCAAUGGUGCUGCUAAAGCCAACGGGAAGUUUUCUGGAAUCCUGAAGCAGUACCUGUUAAUGAAGCACCACAAUUAAGUUUCCAAAUCACACCAAAGGAGGAAGGGAUUUCCCAAUAGAAUCAGCAUCCCAUCUUUUUUGUACAACGGGAUUCAAAUCACAUUUUACUUGCUUAGAGCACAAUUCAACAUCAUGUGGUUUCUGUGAUUCUUUUUCUGACCACAAAUUGCUUAAGACGAAAACUUCUUGCUGUAGCGACGAAAGUAAAGCCACUGCAGCAUACAGGAGGCCAUACUUGAUCAAAAUUGAGAAAAGAGGCUUGCUCUAACAGAGUACACUGGAAGCAUAUUGCAUAUGCAUGGCAGAUCAUGUAAUUUCUCUAUUCCCCUCAAUCAUGUCUCUAAGGGACACGAUAUUCCCGUGACUGUCGAAUACAAGAAUCCGUGAAAGCACGUACAUUUUAUUACCCAUUUGAUCUAACACUUACCAUCUAACUCUUGGAAACAAUCUAAAAAAAGGGAGGAAGAGGAGAUAGAAGGCAAGAAUUGAGCAAUUUCCAUCUGUUUCUCUCUUUUAAUUAAGAGUUAAUAUCCUAAAAAACUCCAAAUUGGUACACAUGUGACAAAUUUACCCCGAUGGACUAUUAAAAACCCUAAAAUUAUAUAUUUAUGACAAAUUUACCCCAAACUAAUUUAUUCGACCACAAAAAAAAUGGUAAAUUUGUGACAAAUAUAUCCUCCACUAAAUUGAAUUAAUACCAUAGUAAACCGUGACAAACGGAGCGUAAAAUCUCAAAUUGAUAUACUAGUCAACUGUCACAUGUCAUUUAACUUAAUAAUUUGACAGUAAAAUUUAAUGAAAACUAAUAGAAGGUAAAUUUGUCACAAGUGUACCAGUUUAGAGUAAAUUUGUCAAAUAUAUAACAAUUUAGAGUUUUUUGUGGUAAAAAAAAAUAGUUUGGAGUAAAUUUGUCACAGGUAUAUCAGUUUGGGGUUUUUUAGGGUAUUAACCCUAUAAUUAAUUUAGUUUUAAAUUUAAUCUUAUUAAUUUUUCAUGAAAAAUUCAUAUGUUAAAUUUAUUGGCUCACAUGUCAUUGUCACUUGAUGUGUAUGAUAUAUAGAAUAGUCCAAGAAAUUUGACUUUAGAUACAUGGGAACCCGCGAAUGGUCAUACAUUGUCGAUUACACAUUCAACAUGAUGUAUUAGCUAAUCAUAGUCCUCUAACGGUUUAUAUUUGCUUAAUAUAUUUCAAGAAUAUUAAUUUGUUAGACUUGUCCGCUCACACGCCGCUGUCACUCGAUGUGUAUGAUAAGCAGAAUAGUCGAAGAGCUUUGACUUUAGAUACUUGGGAGUGUCUAUGCUUGUUUUAUGUCUAUUAUGCUUGCAAUGCUUCUUGUUUUGAGUGGACAGUACAAAUAUUUAAGUCCGUGUCAAUUUGAACAAUUUUCUUUAUUAUAGAGCAACAGUCUUUAAUCUAUUGUGUUCUUGACCACAAAAAACCAAAUAACAAAUAAGUAUAAAUUAUUGUAGGGUCCAACGACAAUCUUUAAUCUAUUGUGUUCUUGACCACAAAAAAUCAAAUAAUAAAUAAGUAUACAUUAUUAUAGGACCCACUCCUUUAAAAAUUUGUUGUUCACAAAAACUUAUUUAUUCUCAUAAUAACCCAAAGUUAUGCUAGCAAAAAUGCAAUUUAAUCCUAAAAUUUGUCACGAAAUGCAAUUGAGUCCUAAAAUUUUCAAAAAGUACAAUUAAUUAUAAAGAUUUAUCAAAAUUGGUCCAAUUUAAGUCAUUCCAUUCAUUGCAAUUUUUGAAAGUUUUAGAGCUCAAUUAUGCUUUCCUAACAAGUUUUAUGACUUAAUUAUAAUUUUUGAAAAUUUUAGAACUUAAUUGUAAUUUAUGAUAAGUUUUAGGAUUUCUAGUACACUUAUCUUUUUUUUUUGUUUUUCACCUCAUUAAUCUUUUUUGCAACAAUGAGCUUGACAUAUCUCUGUUUUGAGGAUUUCAGUGGCUAGGGGAAACACAGGGAUGUCCUCUAAUGAAUCAACAAUCUUCCUGCCAUGACAAUGCCGGAAGAGAGAUGAGUGUCUUACAUAGUUAACAAAAAUGUUCAUGUUAUAAUUGGUAAGCAUUCGCUUUCCCAACGUGCAUGAACAUUUCCGGCGAUGAAACAUUCGUGAGGAGCCAGUAAAGACAUCCUGUUAUUUAAACCGGCAAGAGGAUAUCGAGCUUGCUCUAUUGGCAAGUAUAUUGUUGUCAGAUAAGCCUAAUAAAUCCGAUAUUUUCAUACAAAAAAUCGUCAUCGAGGCCAACUUAAUCCAAAAUGCCAAUGGACAGGCUUGGGUAAGCUAGUGGAUAGGUAUGCCGCUUUAUCUUAUGUCGUGUUAUCUCACGAGAGAUGGUGCUGCGUUCUCUUUAGAAUGCACAUGACUUGGGAUAGGAAAACCUUAGGAUCCGACUAGGAGGAAGGAAAAAAGCAAUCUAUUGUCGGGCCAAUAUAAGAUCAUUUCAUGUCAAACUCCGCAGUCUUGAGGCCAUGGAAUCUACGACAUACUUGCUCAUUCACAAGGACUGAGCAAAUAAAUGAUAAAAUAAGAGCAAUGGUCGUCAUUGAUCGUCUGCCCUUUAACUGAUUGGAUUCUAAAUAUUUUAUUUUCAAUUGGGGUCUAAAUAUUUUAUUUGAUUCAAUUGACUUCUAAAGAUUUCCAAUUUUAGUCAAUCAAGUCCCUCAAAUAUUAUCCUCGGAAAGAGCCACAUGGCUGUGAUUUUCCUAGUGGCUAAGGAGAUGCUUGAGGAGAAAACCUGUAGGAGAGGCGAAGCCAUCCAAGCAGAACUCUCAAGAAGUCAAUUUUUCAGACAGUUUCUCAAUCAUCACAUAGAGAAGUACCAGGAUUUCAUUACCCAUUUCACUUGUUUCUGCUAUAAAACUCACGAGUAUCGAAGUAUAUCAGGCAUAGUUUAUUUGUACUCCAGCAGAGCAAUUAAGAAGGCAUAGAUGAUGCUCUCCUCUAGCUGAAAGCCCGAAACUCCCACUUUUCCUCUGUGUGAUCAGCCUUGCCAGCAACAAUUUCCAACUACCCAAAUUGAUGUUGAAAUUUAAUCAAAUAGACUCAGAGAAGAAAACAAACAAGAGAAUUGUUGCUGUAACUUUCGUUACUUUAUUCAUCAGAACAUAAGCCUAUUAAAUAGGCAGAACAUCCAAACCACUUAGCAAGACAAUAGCUAUAGAACAACAACAAAGACCCACUAACAUACCCCACUAACCAGAACAUAUGCAGAAACUAACUCCUAAAAACAAGCCACAUCCUAUUGACUAGGACUCCACUAUUACAUUAUUGAAGACACGUAAAAACUGAAAGUUAACUACUUCAACAAUUGAUGGUGUCACUUCAAGGAGUUCUCAAUGUCAAUCACGAAUCGAUACUUAACAUCUCUCUUGAUGAGCCUCUCCAGAGCUUCGUUGGCGUAAUCGAUCGGUAUCACUUCAAUGUUUGGGUAUAUCUUCUGCACCGCACACAAGUCUAUCAUUUCUUGGGUAUUCUUUGUUCCUCCCGUUACGCUACCCGUAACAGUUCUCAUAUCUGCCAAAAGUUCACCGCGAGCAACUUAAUUCACCUAUCAGGUAUGAAAUUUCAUUUAGUAAUCAGAUUUGAGAACAAAAACAUACUGAGGUUAAGGCUGGCUGGACUGAAUUUAACUUCGCUCGGGACGCCGACCAAUGCUAGAAUGCCACCCGUCUUCAAAAGAGACAUGUAAGGAUCAAAUGGGUGAUCACCGGCUGCCGUGUCGAUUAUAAAGUCCAGGGACUUAGCAAUGGCCUGCGUGCAUUGGAUUUAUCAGAUCACAACAGAAUUUGACCACCAUGGAUCUCAAUGUGGAUAAUUCUAGUUUUUCCUCUUUUUACCUUCAUCUGCUCCAGGUCAGAUGAGAUAAUGAAAUGGUCAGCCCCAAGCAGGCUCAGUGCUUCCUCCUUUUUAGAAAUGCUUGUACUUAACACUGUGACUUUCAGUCCAAAAGCCUUCCCAAACUUAACUGCCAUAUGACCGAGCCCACCAAGUCCAAUUACACCUAGAGACUUACCAGGUUGGUUCAUCUUGUGACGUAUCAUUGGAGUGUACACCGUGAUUCCAGCACAGAGCAAUGGCGCUGCUAGAUCCAUCGGGUAGUUUUCUGGAAUCCUGAAGCAAUACCUGUCAAUGAAGCACCACAAUUAAGUUUCCAAAUAACACCAAGACAGGAAGUGAUUUCCCAAUAGAAUCAGCAUCCUGUCUUUGUUGUCUAAAAGGAAUCAAAUCACAGAGCCAGAAAUCCUAUCUUCCACAUGCUUGGGAAUUUUACUUGCUUAGACCACAAUUCAGCAUCAUGUUGUUUCUGUGAUCCUUGUUCUGACCACAAAUUGCUCUAGACAAACAUUUCUUGCUGUAGCAACGUAAAUAAAGCAAUUGCAGCAUACUGGAGACCACACUCGAUUAAAAUUAAGAAAAGACACUUGCUCUAAGAAAGGAAACUAGUGGCAUAUCAUGUAUGCUUGACUGAACACGUAAUUUUGUAUUUCCUUCAAUCAAUUUCUCCAAAGGACUCAAGAUUCCUGCGGCUCUAUCAGAAACAAGAAUUAGUGAAAGCGCAUACAUUUAGCUACUCAUUUGAUCUGAUACUUAUGAUCUAACUCUAACAAUCUAAGGACAGCUUAUUCCAUUCUUGACAAUGGUUAUUCAAAAGAAAGAAUUUCUUUUCGCAUUUAAUAAAGCCAGUUCUCCAUUGAAUGGUUUGAAUGGUAAUUGGAUACAGAGGACUUAAAGACUCUCCAGAGUCGUUAUAGAAAGUAUCUUUAUCCCUUUCCACAAGAUGCAAUUAAUGCCUAAAAGCCAUUCCUCACAGUCCUAUGCAUUAUGCCACUUCUGGUCACAAUCAGAAUAAGAAGAAAAUUAGCAGAGAAGAAGACAUGACAUGAAAUCUUUUUUUGGCCACCAUGAUUUGGAAUUCUGUCACAGUGCAAAAUGCUGCCUAAUAACACUGUGUCAGUAAGCAAUUACCUUUCAUGGACGACAAUGUGACUAGAAUAUCCUCCCUUUGUCACUGUACCAUCUGCAUCAAUUCCAUCAAAAGUCAUAACCGACUUUUCACAUUGGACUUCUAGCCUGUCAUUGCAAUACUCGCACUCUCUGCAUGAAUUGACAUAAGUUCCCACCCCCACAUGAUCGCCAACUUUGAAGCGUUGGACACUGGAGCCAACCUGUUUCACAAUUCCAACUAUCUCGUGCCUGAAUCAAUCAAAAAAAAUUUUCGCAAAUUUUGUUCAGAGAAUUAUGAGGAUGGUGCUAAGAAAAAAGAUUUAACAUUUGAAUCCCGCUGCAUCCUACCCCGGCACCAGAGGAUACUUGGAGUGUCCCUGCACAUUCCUAGUCCAAGCCACAUCUGCGUAGCACACUCCACAGUGCGUGAUCUUAAUCGAGACGUCUUCGCUUCCCACGGCCCUAAAGAGAUGAUUCCCAAACAGGUGAGCAUAUAAUCCAGUGACUAAUCAGACUAGGGUGCCCUUUUUUUCCAUUUUCAAGAUCAACAAACUAAACUUGACCUACGAUUAUUGAGGAAACAAGAAACCAGAAAUGAGAAAAGGAAAAAUUCCAUGACUACAAGCAUAUUUGUCCAUACGGUAGAUACAACCUCAAAUGCUCAGAAAGGCAGCCAGUACAGGAUCCUCAUGUCUGCAGCCAGUACAGGAUCCUCAUGUCUGCCAUGAAAUUCUGAGUAACCCAUAACCAACAAUUCUCGACUCAGAAUUCAGCGCAUACACAACAAAAGAAAGAACGAAAAAAAAUGAAAUGGUCUGGACCGAAACUGUCUCUCGUGAACACUGUACUGAGACUCUCGCAUGAACACUUCGGUAGAAAUCGAAAAAGAAAAAAAAAAAAAAUGGCAAUACCUGCGGGUGAAUUUGUAGGGGGAGAGGAACCCAGAAGGGUCCCGGGCAGCCCAACCGAGGCAAUCCUCCUUCCCACCCUCCGAGCUCAUCUUCUGCACCUACACACCCGGCGAAGCAAUCACACAAACAGGUACGGUUAGAUUCAUCCAAAGAAGAAGAAGAAAGGGUGAGAACGCGAACGAGAGAGUGCCCAAGAUCAGAGACUCGACGGGUCAUCACACGGCGACGACUCGAGUCACAACGAGCUCGCCAUCACUCAUCAACUCACUCACUCACCCACCCCCACCUACCCAAGCACAACCCCACAGCAACUCAGAGAGAGAGAGAGAUGACUACGGAGAUGGAGAGAGGUUACGCGGUGGUGGAGUAUGCGGUAGCGCGAAGAGGGUGAUGAGCCGAGCAGAGUCGAGGACGGGAGGUUCAACGAAGACUUUUGCCCCCUCCUACUUUGCAGGAAAGCUACGAGUCGUCGUAUGGAUUUUAUGGCGGUGGCCCCUAGGCUCUAAAAGAAGGUUCGAGGAGCCUACUGCCUAGCCUUCUUUUGCUGUUGGUUUCAAUAUCUGCUGCUUUUCCGCCUUAGCCCAACCGACAUCGCCCUCAAAAGACAUCAAAGAUAAGGUAGUUGGAAGGAAACAUCAUCCGAAACUUAAAGAUGGGGUAGUUGGAAGGAAACAGUAUACGAAACUUUGGUUCAAUAGGUAACGUGAUUUUCUAAAUUUUUAAUUUACCCAAUAUGAUUUUUUAAAAUUUUGGUAUAGAUUCAACUUAGUCUUUAGAGUAUAUAUUGUCGCAAAUUUUAAAUUAAUAAAAUGACGACGUUGAAUAUUUUCAUAUGAUCAAAUGACAACAUUAAAUAUGUACUAAAAUUUUGAAUAAUAUUGAAUAUUUUCAUAUAAUUUUGAGAUUAUAUAGAAUAUGUAUCAAAGAUCAUUAACUAUAUAGUUCCGUUCAAUUUGCGGAAAAUAAUUUCCGAAAAACCGUUUUUCAGAUUUUUCGACAUUCAUUUCAUGAAAAAUGAAUUCAUUGGGAAAAAUGUUUCUUCUAAAUUAAGGGAAAAUGUUUUCCACUUUUAAAAAGUGAAAAACAUUUUCUUCACUCGAUCUCUCUUAUCUUACACCUCUAAAAAUCUCUACUUUAUCCUCACAUUUCUUUUUCUUCUUUUCUUUUUUUAAUUCAAAUUAUUUUUAAUUUCCUUUUUAUUUUAUUUUUAAUUUUUCUUUAUUUUUCUUUUUCUUUUCUUUGUUUCCCAUCUUUUCUUUCUUGGCUAGUUGUCAGUCAUUACCAAGCGAAUCUCGAGUUCGUCAAUCUUAAGCUCACACUCUGUACUCUUACUUAUCAUUUUCUUUAUUUACUCUAUCCUGCAGUUGUAUAUUGCUCAAACAAAUGGCUCUACAUGCUUUGCUUCUUUUUUCUUUUGUUUAUUAGAACACAAAAGACGCAUGAGAGAACAGGCCACUCAACUGGAAGAUUCUCAUUAGGGCUGUACAUGCUUUGCUUCUUUUCUCUUUUACUUCUUUUUAAAAUCCAUACAGACAUUUUUUAGAGUAGAUGAGCGUUUGACAACAAUGAGGGAACAAAGAUAUGCUCGAAUUUAAAUGCAAGUUCAUAUUUGAUGGGUUUAUAGGUCGGUAAGUGAUGCAUGCCUAAGUGGUGAAGUCUUAGAAAAUAUUUUCCUUACCAAACACCGAAAAAUAAUUUUCGAAACAUUUUCAAGUUUUAGCUUAACACUAGAAAAUAUUGUAAUUUUCCUAGAAAAUGAUUUUUGGAAAAAUAUUUUCCGGAAAUGACCAAUUUUUCACGAAACGAACGGACCCUUAGUCUCGGGAGUUUCUAUGUUACAUAUGAUCUAGUCCUUCAACUUUUCUAUUUGUAUACACUCAAAUCUUUUGUCAUAUUCAGUUUUUAUGCAGUUAAGUUUUAUUUUGUUCAUUCAAAUCAUUCAAUGUUCUCGACUAGUGCAAUUGAGUGCUUCACUCACCCAUCAUAACACACAAUUCCAUUUUUCUUUUUCCAAGUUUGCUUUUCGCUCAUUUGGCACCACCUCAACAUUGUGCGAUAUUUUCUACCUCAAUGAUAAUACUAUGUUAUUGAUUACUAUGACACAUUCAGCAAGAGGAUUUACUGAACGAUUUAAUUGCACGAAUCAAGAAAGUUAGAAGACUUGAUUGAACAAAAUAUAAAGUUAAGAGGAUCAAAUUGUGCCGAUAUGGAAAUUUGGAUGACUAAAAUUGCAUCAAACCCUUUUAUAGGGAGAUGGGUCAGCCACAAUAACAUAUUCUUUUUCAGUGACUGGCUUUGACACAACCAAUGCAACAUUAGUACGAAAAUGAAAGAUGAGUGGACAAAAGAAGGGCAACAGAUGUUAAACGAAACCUGUUUCCCAAAAGCACCAUGCAGAAACUUCCUUUCAUUGGAAAAUUUUUCUUGAAACGGAACUAAAGAUUACUGGCUUCGACAUAACCGAUGAACAUACCAAGAGCUGAGGCCUUAUCCAACAACAACGUGAAAAUGAAAAAUGAGUUGAAAAGAAUGGACAGCAGCUGUCAAAUUAAACAUUUUUUCCAUGUCUCGUUCAGAACUUGUCACUCCUUCAUUACAAUCUUGACCCUUUUGAAAUUGGAAGUGAAGGUUACUGGCUUCGACAUGACCAAUGUAUAACUUGUCGCUCAUGCAAUAUGGUAUAUAGAAAUGAAAGAUGAGUAGAAAAAGAAAUGGACGAUUGCUGUCAAAUUAAAACCUUUCCCAAGUCAACUUGUCGCUCCCCUUCCUUCCAUUAAAAUGCUUUUAUGGUGGAACUGAAGAUUACUGGCUUUGACACAACCAAUGUAAACCCUCCAAGAGGUGAGAGAACUUAUGCAAAAGUAUAAAAAUGAAAGACGAGUCAAAAAGAUGAGGACAAUAACCAAAUGCGUGCAACUCAAUUGCACUUUUUGAUAAGGAUAAACUGCACCUCUCCUCAUCAUUGAAAGAGAUAGGAUUAAACGCAGACGUGAUUGACAUAGAGAUUCUUACUAGAAAUUAAAUAAAAAUAAGUCUUUCUUGGUAACAGGAUGUUUGUUCUCGUGACCGUGUAGGUCUUUCUAGGUUCUCUGACGCGUGCCAUGAGGUCAUGGCAUGUUAUGCAACCAGAGAUAUCCAUUCCAUAUUUCUAUGGUAUCUAUCCAUCGUUACCUCCCGUGAACCUAAGAAGAACAAAACCAAUCCAUAAAGCUGGAGGAUCAAGAACAACCCGCCCUAAGUUAUUGAUGAACUGAGUUAACUGUUUGAAGCCUAAGUAGCGAAUCAUUUAAAGUUUAAGCUACUAAAAUGUCAGAUGCCAAACAGAAGGAAAAUCUACAGAGCCAACAUCUGCAUCGGAUCAACGAUGGCAUAUCAACAACUAAGGGAAAAAUCUGCUACUAAAUAUUUAUCUGAAACUAUAAGCGAGGAUCACGUUGCACUUGCAUAAGUCUGUUAACGCAGGUCAAUGGUCAUGUUCUGGCCAGCUAUGUAAGAAGUUUGAAAACUCUACACGGACAGGCACCAUUUGCAAGAAGACCUGUUCCCUCAAAUGCUCAUCUUUGUACUGAGCUGGAAAUGCUUUUAGCAGAUGACUGUGCCUCCAGAAACAAAUCGCAUGAAGUGGCCCACAAUUCUCUGGCAAGUCCAGUGUCGUACGAAACUAAAGAAGAGUUGAUAGUCCGGCCCUUCCCACCAAAGAAUACACACCAGAAAUUUCCUAUAUUUGCAAGACAGCGGCUAUUAGUAAGCACUGUUCCAACAUAUAAUAGCAGCCGCAUAAGAUUGAUACCACAGAUUAUCAGCAGAGAAGGGAAAAUCAAUUCUGGAAACACUCUGUCAUACCGUAGAAUCAACAUUAAUGGAUUUUACGUCCAAUGCUAGUACGACCUCAAUUGAGGAUAAAACGAGAGAGACUCAUUCAAGAUGGUUCAGAUAAGUGAAGCACCAGUACAGGAAUGCUUUACACCAGCCCCAUUUAGUGGGAAAAAAUCACUAUCACCCAUAUCUGCAGCUGUGGUUGCCUAUUGAGAUGAAACACAAGUGAUUUCAUUGCAGUCCCAUCUAGCAGUCCCAUCUAGCAUAUAGCAGAAAUUAAAGAUAACGAUUGCAGUCAGAAAAACACAUAAGAGAAUUGUUGCUGUAACUCUCGUUACUUUAUUCAUCAGAACAUAAGCCUAUUAAAUAGGCAGAACAUCCAAACCACUUAGCAAGAAAAUAGCUAUAGAACAACAACAACAAAGACCCACUAACACACCCCACUGACCAGAACAUGUGGAGAAACUAACUCCUAAAAACAAGCCAUUUCCUAUUGACUAGGACUCCACUAUUACAUUAUUGAAGACAUGUAAAAACUGAAAGUUAACUACUUCAACAAUUGAUGGUGUCACUUCAAGGAGUUCUCAAUGUCGAUCACGAAUCGAUACUUAACAUCUCUCUUGAUGAGCCUCUCUAGAGCUUCGUUGGCAUAAUCGAUCGGUAUCACUUCGAUAUUUGGGUAUAUCUUCUGCGCUGCACAUAGGUCUAUCAUUUCUUGGGUAUCCUUUGUUCCUCCCGUUAGGCUACCUGAAACAGUUCUCAUAUCUGCCAAAAGUUCACCACGAGCAACUUAGUUCACCUAUCAGGUAUAAAAUUUCAUUUAGUAAUCAGAUUUAAAACAAAAACAUACUGAGGUUAAGGCUGGCUGGACUGAAUUUAACUUCGCUUGAGCCGACCAAUGCUAGAAUGCCACCCGUCUUCAAAACAGACAUGUAAGGAUCAAACGGGUGAUUGCCGGAUGCCGUGUCAAUUAUAAAGUCCAGGGACUUAGCAAUGGCCUGCGUGCAUUGGAUUUAUCAGAUCACAACAGAAUUUGACCACCAUGGAUCUCAAUGUGGAUAAUUCUAGUUUUUCCUCUUUUUACCUUCAUCUGCUCUACGUCAGAUGAGAUAACGAAAUGGUCAGCCCCAAGCAGGCUCAGUGCUUCCUCCUUUUUAGAAAUGCUUGUACUAAACACUGUGACUUUCAGUCCAAAAGCCUUCCCAAACUUAACUGCCAUAUGACCGAGCCCGCCAAGUCCAAUUACACCUAGAGACUUACCAGGUUGGUUCAUCUUGUGACGUAUCAUUGGAGUGUACACCGUGAGUCCAGCACAGAGCAAUGGCGCUGCUAGAUCCAUCGGGUAGUUUUCUGGAAUCCUGAAGCAAUACCUGUCAAUGAAGCACCACAAUUAAGUUUCCAAAUAACACCAAGAGAGGAAGUGAUUUCCCAAUAGAAUCAGCAUCCUGUCUUUUUUGUCUAAAAGGAAUCAAAUCACAGAGCCAGAAAUCCUAUCUUCCGCAUGCUAAGGAAUUUUACUUGCUUAGACCACAAUUCAGCAUCAUGUUGUUUCCGUGAUCCUUGUUCUGACCACAAAUUGCUCAAGACAAACAUUUCUUGCUGUAGCAACAAAAAUAAAGCAAUUGCAGCAUACCGGAGGCCACACUCGAUUAAAAUUAAGAAAAGUCACUUGCUCUAAGAAAGGAAACUGGUGGCAUAUCACAUAUGCUUGAUUGAACACGUAAUUUCUGUAUUUCCUUCAAUCAAUUUCUCCAAGGGAGUCAAGAUUCCUGUGGUUCUAUCAGAUACAAGAAUUAGUGAAAGCACAUACAUUUAACUACCCAUUUGAUCUGAUACUUAUGAUCUAACUUUAACAAUCUAAGGACAGCUUAUUCCAUUCUUGACGAUGGUUACUGAAAAGAAAGAAUUUCUUUUUGCAUUUAAUAAAGCCAAUUCUCCAUUGAAUGGUUUCAAUGGUAAUUGGAUACAAAGGACUUAAAGACCCUCCAAAGCAGUUAUAGAAAGUAUCUUUAUCCCUUUCCACAUGAUGCAUUAUGCCACUUCUGGUCACAAUCAGAAUACGAAGAAAAUUAGCAGAGAAGAAGACAUGACAUGAAAUCUUUUUUUGGCCACCAUGAUUUGAAAUUCUUUCACAGUGCAAAAUGCUGCCUAAUAACAUUGUGUCAAUAAGCAAUUACCUUUCAUGGACGACAAUGUGACUAGAAUAUCCUCCCUUUGUCACUGUACCGUCCGUAUCGAUUCCGUCAAAAGUCAAAACCAUCUUUUCACAGUGGACUUCUAGCCCGUCAUUGCAAUACUCGCACUCUCUGCAUGAAUUGACAUAAGUUCCCACACCCACAUGAUCGCCAACUUUGAAGCGUUGGACACUGGAGCCAACCUGUUUCACAAUUCCAACUAUCUCGUGCCUGAAUCAAUCAAAAAAAUCAUUCGCAAAUUUUGUUCAGAGAAUUAUUAGGAUGGUGCUAAGAAAAAAGAUUAACAUUCGAAUCACGCUGCAUCCUACCCUGGCACCAGAGGAUACUUGGAGCGUCCCGACAUAUUCCUAGUCCAACCCACAUCUGCAUAGCACACUCCACAGUGCGUGAUCCUAAUCGAGACGUCAUCGCUUCCCACGGUCCUAAAGAGAGAAUUCCCAAACAGGUGAGCAUCUAAUCAAGCAACUAAUCAGACUCAGUUACCUUUUGUUCUCAUUUUCCAGAUCAAUAAACUAAGCGUGGCUUACAAUAAUCAUACAUUCAACCCAAAACAAAUUUUAAGAAAAGAGAAAUGAAAAGGAACCAAAUCCAAGACUAUAGCAUUUGUCUGAAUAGUGCGUACAACCUCAAAUGCUCACAAAGGCAGCACCUGAAUCCUAAUGUCUGCCAUGAAGUUCUAAGCAACUCAUUCUGGGACAUGACAUAUCAUGCGUACGAACAAUUCUCUACCCAGAAAUUAGUGCAUACACAACACAAUUUAUAAAAGAAAAACGAAAUGGUUUGGUCAAUGUGGAAAUUUAAAUAUAUGACAAGCAUCAAAAACUGUUUUGCAUUACAGGUGAGAGGAUAAGACCUGAGAACACUUUAUUGAGACUUAUUCAGACAAAUACUUCAAUAGAAAUUGAAAGUAUAAGGAGCAGAUGAAUUAAAUAAAGAACAGUGGUAACAGUAAUACCUGCGGCUGAAUUUGUAGGGGGAGAGAAGUCCAGAAGGAUCUCUGGCAGCCCAACCAAGACAAUCUUCCUUCGCACCCUCUGAACUCAUCGUUCCUCAACGACCUCAACUGAAAUCGACCCACAAAAAAAUUGCUGCGUUAAUCUCUCAAUAAGCUGAAUUAUGGAAGAAGAAGAAGAAUUAUUUUCGUGAAAGAGAAAUGAAGAAGAGAAUUUCAAACCGAAAAACAGAAGUUCAAAUGGUCAAAAGGCCAAAUGUCACGAAGACUUGGCAAUUCCGUUUCCGUGCAGACAAGAUUUUGCGGUCUGACUUUUGAGCAAAGAGCGAGAUUAGCAGAGAACGAGGUUGAGCGCUCAAAAAUAGUAAAAUUGGUUUUGUGUUUUGUGUUUUGAUUAGCAUAUUUGUCUUUUAAUUGUUUUUUGGCUAUGUGUGUAUAAGCAAGAGUUAUUCGGUUUGUAAACCGUCAAAGAAACGUGUGCUACAGCACCACGUCUCUCUAAGCCGCCGGAGAAGAAAAAUCAUGAAGAAAGUACAAGUAUCUUGGGCACACAAUAAAAUAUUAGUCUUGGCUAGCAAUAUUUUAUUCUCUCUGAAGACAGCAAGAAGAAGAGAUACGCAGCCCACGUUUUUUGACUGCCAAGAAGAAAAGUUCAACUUUAACUCUUGCACGUUUGAAGUCCAUGCGGUGAAGUGCUUUUAGAUAUAGGGUUACGUUAGUUUAGUGUGUGUGAGAGAGUGAGAGAGUGAGAUUUUAGAGAGAGUUUUAAGCUUAGCAAAGUUAGUGUAUGUACUCUCUUAAGCCUUUAUAAAAGCAUAUUGUGUAAUAUAAUCUCUCUAUGUGUGUACUCUCUCCCUCCAAGUCCUUUUGGUUCCAACAAUUGGUAUCAGAGCUAGCAAUGGCAUCCACUGGUUCUGUUCAGUUGCAACUUCCAAAGUUGAACGGAAAAAAUUACAACAACUGGUCCGUCCAGAUGAAGGUUCUAUUCAGGUCCCAAGAUUUGUGGAACCUGGUGGAGAACGGCUACACCGAAGUAGCUGAUGCUGAAGAAUUCAAUGCUUUGAGGAAGGAGGAGAAAGAAGCGUUGGUGGAAUCUCGAAAGAAAGAUCAGAAAGCAUUAUAUGCGAUCUUUCAAGCUGUGGAGGAGACGAUAUUUGAAAAAAUAUCGAGUGCGGAGACAGCGAAAGAAGCGUGGGAUAUAUUGCAAAAAUCCUACAAAGGCGAUGAUCGUGUCAGGCGGGUGCGGCUCCAAACACUUCGAGGAGAUUUUGAGUCUUUAUGCAUGAAUGACUCAGAAUCUAUCUCGGCUUACUUUGAUCGUGUACAAACCAUCGUUAACCAACUGAGGGUUAAUGGUGAAGAGCUCCAAGAUGUAUGAGUCGUAGAAAAAAUCUUGAGGUCUUUGACUGAAAGAUUUGACUACGUUGUUGCGGCAAUCGAAGAAGGCCAAGAUAUAUCAACCAUGACGUUGGAGAGGUUGAUGGGUUCAUUAUGUUCGCAUGAGCAAAGAAUGAACCAGAAGUCUAUCAGUUCGAAUUCUGAGCAAGCACUGCAGAGUCGGGUCACUCAAUCAAAUCGAGGAGGUCAUCAUGGUGGCAGAGGUCGUGGAGGUCGUGGAGGUGCUGGAGGUAGAGGUGGAAAUCUGAAUUCCACUAAAAGAUAUAAAACACGUGACAAAUCAAAAGUCAAGUGUUUUAACUGUAACAAAUUCGGACAUUACAAAUCCGAAUGUCAAGCAAACAUGAGGCAAGAGCAGCCAGAAUAUGUGCACGCUGUCGAUGCAAAUGAAGGCGUGGUGUUAGCAUACCAAAUGGAUGACUCAAGUACCAUGGACACAAAAAUUUGGUACCUUGAUACUGGGUGCAGCAAUCACAUGUGUGGUCAAAAGGAGCUAUUUUUGAAGUUAGAUGAGACGGUCGUGGUGAAGUCAACUUCGGGAAUAAAUCCAAAAUUCUCGUGAUGGGCAAAGGUAACAUUGAUAUCAACUCAAAAGAUGGUACUAAUGUUACUAUUGCAGACGUUUACUUUGUGCCGGAACUCUUUUGGAAUUUGCUGAGUGUUGGGCAACUAUCCGAAAAAGGCCACAAAGUUAACAUUGAAAAUGGUGUGUGCACCAUUAGAGGCGCAAACAAUAAGUUGAUUACGACGACACAGAUGAUGAAGAACCGGAUGUUUCCUCUAUCCCUUCAGACGAAGACUCUAUUGAGUUUCCAAGCAACGACAAAAGAUAGCAAGUGGCUAUGGCAUCUUCGGUUCGGUCAUCUAAAUUUUCGUGGACUUAAAUUACUAGUCCAGAAAAAGAUGGUGACUGGCAUGCCCUUGAUCGACGCUCCAGACCACUCAUGUGAAGGAUGUCUCGUUGGAAAGCAACAUCGGAAAUCUUUUCAAAUUGGGAGAGCUAGAAGAGCCAAGCAACCUCUGGAGUUGGUACAUACAGAUAUCUGUGGCCCUGUUGAGGUGGAAUCAUUUGGACAAAAAAGGUACACGCUAAUUUUUGUCGAUGAUUUUACUAGAAAAACAUGGGCUUAUUUUUUGAGAGAAAAAUCUGAAGCUUUUGGCAAAUUUAAAGAAUUCAAAGUCUAUGUUGAGAAACAGAGUGGCUUUAAUUUAAAGACAUUGAGAUCGGAUAGAGGUGGAGAGUUUACUUCCAAUGAAUUUGACAAUUAUUGUAAAAUUCAUGGAGUGAAACGUCAGUUGACUGCUAGCUAUACUCCUCAGCAAAACGGUAUAGCAGAAAGAAAGAAUAGAACAAUUUUUGAAAUGGCAAGAAGUAUGCUAAAGGCUAAAGCAUUACCGAAGAAGUUUUGGGCAGAAGCCGUUGCUUGUGCUGUAUUUGUGAUGAACAGGUGUCCAACAAGGAGUGUUCUUGGAAGAACCCCAGAAGAGGCUUGGAGCAGCAACAAGCCAGAUGUUUCGUUCCUACGGGUAUUUGGGUGCGUAGCAUAUCCCCAUAUACCGGAUGAACGAAGAAAAAAGUUGGAUGAUAAAAGCGAGAAGUGCAUUUUCAUUGGAUAUAGUAAUGUGACUAAGGGUUAUAAGCUAUAUAAUCCUGUCACGGAGAAGGUAAUUAUUAGCAGGGAUGUCCAAUUUUUUGAAGAUGAAGCCUGGGACUGGAAUCAAAAGGCUGACCAGAAAGACAUUACUAUGGAAGAUGAACCAUUAGUGAGGGAGACCGAAGAAUCUUCAAUUGAAGAUCCAUCACUUUCACCUGGUAAUUCAUCCUCCUCACCAGCAAAGACUGCAGAACCAUUGAUUCGUCGUUCACAACGACCGCAGAAGACGCCAGUAAAAUUCAAGGAUUAUGUGGUCACAAGAGUUGAUCAUAAUGACAGUGACGAAAUCACUGAUGAAACAAUGGUAAACUUUUGUUUAUUUACCGAAUGUGACCCCAUAUCCUAUGAUGAUGCAGCAGCAGAUGAGAAGUGGAACCAAGCAAUGGAUGAAGAAAUCCACUCCAUUGAAAAGAAUGACACGUGGGUGCUAACUUCUUUACCACUUGGUAAGAAGCCUAUAGGUGUCAAGUGGGUGUACAAAACAAAGUGCAAACCCAACGGUCAGGUGGACCGUUACAAAGCUAGACUGGUGGUGAAAGGCUACAAGCAAAAGCCAGGUAUUGAUUAUUUUGAAGUAUUUGCACCAGUGGCUCGAAUGGAUACCAUUCGAAUGAUCUUGGCACUUGCAGCUCAGAACCAUUGGAAAAUCCAUCAAAUGGAUGUGAAAUCGGCAUUCCUUAAUGGUUUUCUCGAUGAGGAAGUAUAUGUGGAGCAACCACAAGGUUAUGUGAAGAAAGGGCGUGAAAAUCAAGUUUAUAAACUGAAAAAAGCGUUGUAUGGGCUAAAACAGGCACCUCGAGCUUGGUACACGAGGAUUGAUACUUACCUGUUGGAGCAUGGCUUUCAAAAGUGCCCUUAUGAGCAUACACUGUAUAUCAAAUCAAAUACUAACGGCGAUAUUAUAAUUAUUUGCCUUUAUGUUGAUGAUUUGAUAUUUACAGGAAGCUGUGAGAAGAUGUUUGCUGAAUUCAAGGAGGCCAAGACAAGUCAAUUUGAGAUGACAGAUUUGGGAUUAAUGUCCUAUUUUCUGGGCCUUGAAGUGAAGCAGACAAAUGAAGACAUAUUUGUUUCACAGCAGAAGUAUGCUAAUGAUAUUUUGAAGCGAUUCAAUAUGGAAAUGCUCAAAUCAAUUCGAACUCCUGUAGCAGAACGGUUGGAGUUGAGGAAAGAAGGAACCGGUGAACUGGUAAAUCCCACUUAUUUUAAAAGUAUUGUUGGCAGUUUAAGAUAUUUGGCUACCACUAGGCCAGAUAUAACUUAUGGCGUGGGAAUUAUUAGUCGGUUUAUGGAGAAACCAUACCAAUCACAUUUGCAAGCAGCAAAAAGAAUUUUAAGGUAUGUCAGUGGAACUCGUGAUCAUGGAAUUUUAUAUUCUUACACUGACAACUUCAGUUUAGUGGGGUAUACAGACAGUGAUUGGGCAGGUGAUACUGAAACACGGAAGAGCACUUCCGGAUAUGCGUUCUUUCUUGGAUCAGGAAUAAUUUCUUGGUCAUCAAAGAAACAACAAGUUAUUGCACUCUCAACAGUUGAAGCAGAAUACAUUGCAGUAUCUUCAGCAGCAUGUCAGGCGAUGUGGCUUCGAAGGAUGCUUUUUGAGCUUAUGCAUGAACAAAAAGGUCCUACUAAAUUGAUGUGUGAUAACAAGUCAGCGAUUGCAUUGGCCAAGAAUCCCGUAUUUCAUGGCAGGAGCAAACAUAUCGACAUCAAGUAUCAUUAUAUUCGUGAGCUGAUUAAAGAAUGUGAGAUUGAACUUGAUUUCUGUAAAUCCGAAGACCAGAUUGCAGAUAUUUUGACAAAACCAUUGAAGGCAGAUUUGUUCGAGAAAUUGAAGACAAUGCUUGGUGUCGUAGUCUUACAAAAUCAAUUUUAAGGGAGGCUGUUAGAAAAUAGUAAAAUUGGUUUUGUGUUUUGUGUUUUGAUUAGCAUAUUUGUCUUUUAAUUGUUUUUUGGCUAUGUGUGUAUAAGCAAGAGUUAUUCGGUUUGUAAACCGUCAAAGAAACGUGUGCUACAGCACCACGUCUCUCUAAGCCGCCGGAGAAGAAAAAUCAUGAAGAAAGUACAAGUAUCUUGGGCACACAAUAAAAUAUUAGUCUUGGCUAGCAAUAUUUUAUUCUCUCUGAAGACAGCAAGAAGAAGAGAUACGCAGCCCACGUUUUUUGACUGCCAAGAAGAAAAGUUCAACUUUAACUCUUGCACGUUUGAAGUCCAUGCGGUGAAGUGCUUUUAGAUAUAGGGUUACGUUAGUUUAGUGUGUGUGAGAGAGUGAGAGAGUGAGAUUUUAGAGAGAGUUUUAAGCUUAGCAAAGUUAGUGUGUGUACUCUCUUAAGCCUUUACAAAGGCAUAUUGUGUAAUAUAAUUUCUCUUUGUGUGUGUACUCUCUCCCUCCAAGUCCUUUUGGUUCCAAUAGCCAUAGCGUCGCCUGUUCUUGAUUUUUUUUUUUCGUUUUAUCUUGUGGAAAAGAAUUAGUGCCAAACGUAAGCCAUUACCUUUCCCUAGCCAAUGAAGUAUGCAGUGACGUCUUCUGGAGUACGGUUCUUGGUAUUUGUGGAAAUGUGUGUUUGAUGUGUAUUUUGUGUGUGAACUAUCAAGAGAGCAAAAGAACUAAGAAACAAUGUAAGCAAGAAAUAGUUGGGCAAAAUAAUAAUGGGAAUGUGAAAAAGAGAAUGAGGCUGAGGCAGCAAACGAGAGAAAUUUGAAUGAAAGUCGACAAUAGUGGCUGAAGAAGAAACUAGUAUGUGGACAGAAAGAGUACUUGGAGAAGAAGAAAAUGAGUUGUCUUGUAGCUGUACUAUGGCAGUGAAAAAGUGAAAAAUGUCAUGUCGGUUGUAAUUGCUUACAUAGGCUUAUAGUUCAUUCAUAUGAUGUGUGUGAGGUGAACCCUCCACCUUGUGUGGGGUGAACCUCCACUGUGAGAGGUCUUAGACCUCCACCAUGACCAUAUGAAGAGUGACUAUCAACACCUCCAUUAAAUUAUUUUGUCUUCUUCAAUAAGUUCUUGACAGCUGGAGUUUGAUGAAGAAACUUUGCUUCGUGCUUUCCACUGCUUGCUAUUUCCCAUGCACGUAGACUUCUUUAGCCUAUUCUAGGAUUUCUUCUUCAACUUGCUUUUUCUUACUUGCAUUCCCAUGUGAAUCUUUUAGGUUCAGCUAGCAACCAUCAUUCUCAACAAUUCUAAACAAUCUUCAACAUGGAUGCUGCUACCAACGUUUAUUAAUUUCUAGACAGUUUUAGAGAAAAUGAAUUAUAAUUUCCAACAUAUAGUAUUUUGGAGAAAAAAGUAUUUCAGCAUAACUGUGCAAGGAUUUGUAGAUCACUACAAUAUCACCGGAGGCAAAUAAUUAUCCGUCAUUGACAUGACCAAUAUAGCAAAAAUUCUUUUAAUUGUUUACCUUAGUUUAGCAAGAUCUGCUUAAAUGACAGCCUUGAGUAUCUUCAAUUCCUUUUCUCUUGCCUUCAAAAAGAUAUUGAAAUGCAACGCGGAAUAUCAAGACAGAUUGUCAUUGACAAAGCCGUAAAAGCCUACUCGAUCUGGCAAAACUGGGGACUGUUCUUUCCAACGAUCUUGCCCACCUCGGCAGCUGCUGUGCAAAUGGAUAGGAAUGCAUGCAGAGGGACAAGCUGAUUGUUACCUGCUUUUAGUCGUUCAUUUGAAACUGUAAGAUUCACGUGCCAUAAGAUAGCUAGACAAGCGGGCAAAAAAUGAUGCGCCUUGCACCGAAGGUGGCAAGAGCAAUUAAAUUAAAUUCAAAACAAAAAAAGCUUGAUGCAUAAAAUGAAAAGUCAUCCUUUGAGCGAAUAAAUGACAAAGUAAGUGCAAUGAGAGUCACUAAUGUUCACGCUAGACUUAUGCCAUGACCAUUCCUUAGCCGAGAGAACGUAAGCAGCGACAUCUUCUAGAUAGUGGUUACUAGCAAAUUUUUUUUUUUUAUCCCCAGCCUAAUCAAAUUAUCCGAGUUAUAAGCUCAGAAAGAAGUCAAUGAGCAAUCUACCGCUAGGACCUAUGAAUGGUCAUACGAUGUUGGUUACACAUCUUGUUAGAAUAUAAUAUGCGGAAAUAAUAAAAUCUUGCAAUUUACGUCAACGCACAAAUUCCAGAUAAAUAAACGAGAAAUAAUAAGAACACUAUAAAUUUACUUGAUUCGGUCCGAGUAUCGAUAUCUACAUCCACAAGGAGAGCCAGCAGCAAAUAAUCCAUUAUAAUCGGAAAAUCAAAGUUUACAAUCGCCCACACGCUCGAUUGCUUCCCACACCAAGAUUUAAGCUCAUAUUCAAAGAGUUUAUAAAUAAACAAUUCACUUGGAAAUUAUCCCGCGUUCAAGCUUUAAACAAAACAUUCUACAUACGCCAAAAACAAGAACUCGGGCAUUUGUCUUUUGGUUCGCGUACGUACGGAUUCGCGUUCUUCUUUGCUCGAUCGUUCGUGCGGCGCUGUUCUAGACGCUCCUUUUGUGUGGCUCUUUCUUCUUCGUAGGGCUCCAGCGACUCUUUCUUAAAAAAAAAAACAAAGACGUGUUCUAUUUUAUAUGUGAGCCUAGAGUCUAACAACUUUGACUUUGAGCCCACCAUGUGCUUCUUUCUUCAAUGGGAAGUGGGACGCUGCAGAAGUUAAGACUUUGACUUUGGGCCCACGUAGACAGCCUUGUUCGGCUCCGUUAGAUAGAUAAAGAAGAAUCUUUGCUCCUUUUUUUUAUUCUAUUUUAUUUUCUCUUUUAUAAACUUUCAUGGAGUCCAACGAAGCCUAACGAAGCCUUUUUUGUUGACCGAAAAUAUCCAAGACCCAAAAAGAAUUUCGAAUUUCUUUUUUUGUGCAUAAUCUUGAAUAUUAUCUUCAUCAGAAAAAUAUCUUCACGAUCAAAUAAUAAAAAUUUUAUCCAAACAAAUCGUGUUUUGCAAACACUCAAACUCGAGACAUAAUUUAACACAUCUGACAUGAUGUACUGCCCAAUUACUAUCCUCUGACAAUUUAUAUUUGAUUAAUCUAUUUCAAGAAUAUUCAUUUGUUAGACUUGUUGGCUUACACGUCACUGUCACUGUCACGUGAUAUAUCUUAUAUUGAGAAUACUCAAAGAGCUUUUACUCCAGAUACUUGGGAGCAUCUAUGAUUGUUUUAUGUAUAUUAUGCUUGUGAUGCAUCUUGUUUUGAGUGGACUAUAGAAAUAUUUAAGUUCAUGCCAAUUUGACUAAUAUUUUAUCUGGAUAAGUGCAUUGGAAUAUUUAAAAUUUAUCAUAAAAAUAUAAUUAAGCCAUGAAACUUUGAAAUCAAGUUCUAGAACUUUGUCACAUUGGUCUAAUCUAAAUCCUUCCAUUGCAUUUUUGAAAAUUUUAGUACUUAACUACAAUUUUCUGACAAGUUUUAGUAUUUUUAAUAUACAUAUUUUUUUUCAACCUCACUAAUGUUUUUAAGCAACAAUGAGCUUGACAUAUCUCUGAUUUUGGAAUUUCAAUGGCUAUAGGAAACAAAAGGACGUCCUCUAAUGAAUCGACAAUCUUCUGCCAUGAUAAAGCUGGAAGAGAGAUGAGUGUCUUCCAUAGUUAUAAAAAAUGUUAAUGCGAUAAUCUGUAGGAAUUCGUCUUCCUGACGUGCAUGAAUAUUUCCGGCCAUGAAACAUUUCACAAUGAAGACAUUCUUGUUGUAAUUAUGGUUAUAAUGGAUCAAAGGAAGCCAAUAAAUUAAGAUACGUUUUUUCUGUUCACGUAUCUCUUUUUGGAUUCAUGAAUUUCCUAUACUUUUAUGUUCACGUAUCUAUUGAAUUCAUGAAUUUCUUAGAUUCAUGUAUCGUUUAGUUCAUGUAUUUAUUGAGUUCAUGAAUCUAUUGAAUUCACGUAUCGUUGGAUACCUGAAUCUCUUGGAUUCACGUAUCUCUUUAUUCAUGAAUCUCGUGGAUACACGCGUCUAUUUAAUUCAUGUAUCUCUUUAGUACAUGAACUAAAAAGCUCUAUAAAUAGAUAUGAGCAUAGAGCUUCAUAAGAGUUUUUGGUUUUCCCGAUUCGAUUCCAAAAGGAGCUUUGAUGUCCUUUUCUACUAUUCUGUUUUUCCUGAGUGUGCUGGUUCAAUUGAACGGUUCGACAAAGUCCUGUUUGCAUAGUGCUAAUCCAAACAGGUUCGAGGUGUUGUAUCUUGGAAGGCAUAGUUCGUGAAUCUGCGGGGCACCUUUGGCAGGAACUAAUCGCCUUAAGGAGAUUCGGUUAUCCGUACCUCACCUCCAAUUUUAUGUUAUAUCUUAUUUUCUUCUUCUCCAAGAUUUGUAAAGGGAAUGAAAUUAUAAAGUUGUUAUCAUCUUCUUUACUUUCAUGUUCUGAUUGCAACAAACAAUGUGCUUUCUCUGGAUUAAUUUCCAACAAUCUUAAGGCGAUUAUCUCACACUAUUUGUUGUUCUUGUCAUAUUAUUGAGAUGGCUGGAAACAACCAAGUGCCCUUCAAUGUCCCAAAUGUUUCUGGAGAUGUUCCUAUGGUCGAUUCGACCGUUGCUAUGGAAGAUGUUCAAUCCUCAGGGUCUGAAUUUGUAGCAGCCAAUGCUACGGACCCUUGGGCUAACAUCAAUUUUGGUGGUGCGGGUACAAGUCAUACGACUGGUAUGCCCGGGACUAUUUUUCAUAACAGUACAAGCCAAAUGGCUUUUGGCUCCAUUUCUGGAGGGAUGGUUCAACGAACUUUGCCUACUGUGAUGGCAACGCCUCCAGUUACAGCUAAUGAAAAACUAGAGAAAUUCACCGAAGUGGGCUUUAAACAGUGGCAGCAUAAGAUGUUCUUCUAUCUGACCAUGCUCAAUCUGACGAAAUAUUUAUCGGAGAUGUGCCCGAUAAUUAGUCCAAAUGAGCAAGAUGUCACGACGCUCGGUGCGUUGGAGGCUUGGAAGCAUGGGGACUUCUUAUGCCGAAAUUAUAUCCUUAAUUGUUUAGUGAAUUCUCUUUAUAAUGUUUAUUGUAAUAUUGAAUCUGCUAAAUAGUUAUGGGAGUCCUUAGAGAAAAAAUACAAAACUGAGGAUGCCAGCACCAAGAAAUUUGUGGUUGCCAAAUUCUUGGACUACAAGAUGGUGGAUUCUAAAUCUAUCAUGAGUUAGGUUCAAGAAUUGCAAUUAAUUCUGAGUGACAUCUCGGCUGAGGGAAUGAUACUUAGUGAAUCAUUCCAAGUGGCGACUAUGAUUGAGAAAUUACCUUCGGGUUGGUCAGACUUCAAAAAUUAUUUGAAGCACAAACGGAAGGAGAUGAGCCUUGAAGAUCUCAUUUUGCGCCUCAGAAUCGAGGAGGACAAUAGAAGGAGUGCGAAUCCUUCUUCUGAGCCAAAGGCCAAUGUUGUGGAAUCUUCCAAAUCCAAGCAAGAUAGAAAAAGGAAGAUGUCUUUUCAAGGAAAAGGCAAGCAGAAGGAGCAGUUCCAAAAAUUCCAAGGAACGUGUUUCAUAUGCAACAAGCCUGGCUAUCGUGCUAAGGAUUGCAAGAAGCGCCUGAAAAAAAAGGCAAGAACGAAGGUGCAGCCCAGCAACUGAAUUUGACAGAAUAUGACAAUAUUGAGAGACUGUCUGCUGUGGUAAUGUCCGAAGCAUCUCUGGUGUCGAAUACUAAUGGCUGGUGGCUAGACACGGGUGCCACAAAUCACAUCUGUGCAGAUAAACACAUGCUCUCAUCUUAUGAGAAGGCUGAAGAAGAUGAGAAGAUUUAUAUGGCUAACUCUGCAUCAACAAAGAUUGCCGGAAGAGAAACGGUGAUCCUGAAGUUUACAUCUAGCAAGGAGGUCGCCCUGCUGAAUGUGCUGCAUGUACCAGAGAUUUGGGAAAAUCUAAUUUCUUGCCCUAUACUUGUCAAGAAGGGUUUCAAAAUUGUAUUUGAAUAUGACAAGUUUGUACUUUCAAAAGGAGGGAUGUAUGUGGGGAAAGGGUACUUGUGUAAUGACUUGUUUAAGACCAAUGUGGCUGUCAUUGAUGUAAACUCAAAGUAUGGAGGUUGGGACACCUAGAGUGCCAUAACUUGGCAUGAAAUGACACUUAAGUGCCAUAACUUUAAAAUGGUACACUUAAGUGCCAAUAUCGAAGUAAAAUAGAACACUUAAGUGCCACUCCGGCGAAAAUCCGGCCAAAUGGCUGACGUGGCAAUUUUCCGGCGAGUUUGGUCCAAAACGGCGUCGUUUUGCACCCUGACGUAGCGGAGAAAACGCAAAAACGACACCGUUUCGUGUCUACGUGUAAAUAAUAAUAUAUAAAUUAAUUAAAUUAGAUUUAAAAUAUUCAAAAAAUUAAAAAAAUUGUAAAAUUUUAAAAAAAAUUAAAAAUUAAAUUUAAAAAAUUAAAAAAUUAAAAAUUAAAAAUUAAAAGGGGGGGAGGUCAAACAGGGCAGCUCCCUUUCGUCGCUCACUACGCCCUUCCUCGUCUCUGGGUGCGUAGGUAUCCACCGUAAGCCUUUCCUCGUUUGAACCUCGCCCUUCACUUUAAGGCUAUGCCAUCAUAAGGUGCUGCUAAAUGGAAGGAUCUUAUCAACGUCCAUGAAUGAGAAAUCAUAGAUCGAACUGCCGAAUCGGAAAAAUUUGGUGCUAUCAUAUAGCUUUGUAUCGGCUAAGUUCACGAGUUGGAGAUAAGCGGACUCGAAACCGCUGACAUCCGCCNNNNNNNNNNNNNNNNNNNNNNNNNNNNNNNNNNNNNNNNNNNNNNNNNNNNNNNNNNNNNNNNNNNNNNNNNNNNNNNNNNNNNNNNNNNNNNNNNNNNCCCAUCCGUCGCCGGCCCUUCCCGACGACGGCGGGGAGGCGGCGGCGGCGGCGAGGGAGCCGCCCCGUUCGACCUCCCCCACCCUUUUUUUUUUAAAUUUUUUAAAUUUUUUAAAUUUUCUUUUUAAAAAAUUUUUAAAAUUUUUUGUUUUUAAAAUUUUUGAAUAUUUUAAAUUUAAUUUAAUUAAUUUUUAAAUUAUUAUUUACACGCAGACAUGAAACGGCGUCGUUUUUGCAUUUUCUCCGCCACGUCAGCGUGCAAAACGACGCCGUUUUGAACCAAGCUUGCCGGAAAGUCGCCACAUAAGCCAUUUGGCCGGAUCUUUGCCGGAGUGGCACUUAAGUGUCCCAUUUAACUUCAAAACUGGCACUCAAGUAUACCAUUUUAAAGUUAUGGCACUUAAGUGUCCCUCGGUGCCAAGUUAUGUCACUUGGGCUGUACUUCUGCCCAAAGUAUGUGUACCCAAAAACUAUUAAUAAAGAAAAGUCUUCGGUUUACAUUGUUGUGUCUCCUUAUCUAUGGCAUGGUAGAUUAUGACAUGUAAACUAUGGUACAAUGAAGAGAAUAGCAAACUUGGGGUUAAUUCCAAGAUUUGAGUUGGAUGCCCGUUACAAGUGUGAGACUUGUGUUGAGGCCAAGUUUGCCAAGAAACUUUUCAAAUCCAUUGAAAGAACAAGUGAACCUCUACAAUUAAUCCAUAGUGAUUUAUGUGAUUUAAAGUUUGUAGAAAGUAGAGGUGGAAAGAAGUACUUCAUCACAUUUGUGGAUGAUUGUACUAGAUUUUGCUAUGUUUAUUUACUAACUAGCAAAGAUGAGACUAUGAGCAUGUUUGUCAAGUAUAAAAAUGAAGUUGAAAACCAACUUGAUAAACGAAUCAAAGUGCUUAGGUCUGAUAGAGGAGGAGAAUACAGUUCAAUCAAUUUGAAAGAGUUUUGUGCUAGUUUUGGAAUAAUUCUCCAAACGACUGCACCUUAUACUCCACAACAAAAUGGAGUUGAUGAACGAUUGAACAGGACACUAAAGGAGAUGGCUAAUGCCAUGCUUUUGAGUUCAGGUUUACCUCAGAACUUGUGGGGGGGCAGUUUUAACUGCAGAUUAUAUUUUUAAUGAAGGCUAGGUAAAACUCCAUACGAGUUAUGGAAUGAAAAGUUACCAUCCUACAAUUUUCUAAAAGUGUGGGGGUGCAUAAUGUGAUUUAUAAUGGUAAGUCUAGACAUAUUCGUUGUAGACAUAACACCAUAAGGCAGUUGCUCUCAAAUGGAAUCAUUUCUUUAGACUUUGUAAAGUCAAAGGAAAAUAUUGCGGAUCCGCUGACAAAAGGUUUGUUGAAAGAGCAUAUAAACUGCGCAUCGAGGGGAAUGGGUUUAAGAGCCUUAACCCAAUAAAGAGAUUCCAUGAUGGAAACCUAACCUAUGCGAUUGGAGAUCCCAUGGACUAGGUUCAAUAGGACAACGCAAAUUUUGGAAACUCUAGUGUAAGCAUUGUCUCUCAUUCUUAUGAUGCAACAAUACUUUCCUACAGCGUUAUUAAGGGUACGCUAUGCGUUUAAUGAUUCCUAUAACUUGGAAUGUAACAUCCAAGUAACAUCCAAGUAAGAUAUGGUAGGAUAUCUUUAAUAGGAAUGCACCUAUAUGCGUGGAGCUGGCCGACUCUAUGAAAAUCUUUAAAUGCUAGAUUUUCUAAAGCACGCACGAAUCCCAAGAGGUUCAGGGCCGAAAGAACGAACACAACCGAGAACCAAUCUUGAAUUGGAAAUACUCCGUGUGAGGUUUAUUGUCUAAGCUUACACAAACAACUGGUAAUUCAAGGCUUAGUCCAUCGACUAGUUAAGUAAGUCCGAUAAGCUUUCACUAAAGAAGGUUCAAAGCGAAAGCUACCUAUCUUGAUGCGGUUUAUUUCAACAGGCAUGCUCAGAUUCCUUCGAGUCAAAAAUAUUUUGUUGAUCCAUUAAUGUGGGGGAUUGUUGUAAUUAUGGUUAUAAUUAUAGUUAAUGGAUCAAAGGAAGCCAAUAAAUUAAGAUACGUUUUUUCUGUUCACGUAUCUCUUUUUGGAUUCAUGAAUUUCCUAUACUUUUAUGUUCACGUAUCUAUUGAAUUCAUGAAUUUCUUAGAUUCAUGUAUCGUUUAGUUCAUGUAUUUAUUGAGUUUAUGAAUCUCUUGAAUUCACGUAUCUUUGGAUACAUUAAUCUAUUGGAUUCACGUAUCUCUUUAUUCAUGAAUCUCGUGGAUACACACGUCUAUUUAAUUCAUGUAUCUCUUUAGUACAUGAACUAAAAAGCUCUAUAAAUAGAUAUGAGCAUAGAGCUUCAUAAGAGUUUUUGGUUUUCUUGAUUCGAUUCCAAAAAGAGCUUUGAUGUCCUUUUCUACUAUUCUGUUUUUCCUGAGUGUGCUGGUUCAAUUGAACGGUUCGACAGAGUCCUGUUUGCAUAGUGCUAAUCCAAACGGGUUCGAGGUGUUGUAUCUUGGAAGGCAUAGUUCGUGAAUCUGCGAGGCACCUUUGGCAGGAACUAAUCGCCUUAAGGAGAUUCGGUUAUCCAUACCUCACCUCCAAUUUUAUGUUAUAUCUUAUUUUCUUCUUCUCCAAGAUUUUUAAAGGGAAUGAAAUUAUAAAGUUGUUAUCAUCUUCUUUACUUUCAUGUUCUGAUUGCAACAAACAGUGUGCUUUCUCUGAAUUAAUUUCCAACAAUUCUGUCACUUAAACUGGCAAAAGGAUAUCGAGCUUGUUCUUUUGGCGAGUGUAUUGCCGUUAAAUAUGCCAAUUAAUUCCACGACUAUUAGCAUUUGUUUAAAUAGAGCAUACAACCUAAAAUGCUCACAAUGGCAGCUGGUACUGGAUCCUCAUGUCUGCCCAUGAAAUUCUGAGUGCCUCAGACAUGGCAUAUCAUGCACACAAACAAUUCUCAACCCAGAAAUUAGUGCGUACACAACAAGAGUUAAAAAAGAAAAAAAAAAUGAUUUGGUUAAUGUGGAAAUUUAACAUAAUGACAAGCAUAAAAAACUGUUCAGCAGUACAGUAGAGAGGUCAAGACCUGAGAACACUGUAUUGAGACUUAUUCAGAUCAACACUUCAGAUAGUCACUGAAAAGCUAAGGAGCAGAUGAAUUGAAUAAAGAACAAUGGCGAUGAUAAUACCUGCGGCUGAAUUUGUAGGGGGAGAGAAGUCCUAGAAGCCGUCAUUGAUGCCAUAGCGAUGGAUGUUCAUGAUUAAUCUUUGAGCUUACUAUUGUGGAAAAGUAUUAGUGAUUCGCCAAACGUAACCCAUGACCCUUCCUUAACCAAAGAACGCAUGCAAUGACAUCUUCUGGAGAGCGGCUCCUGGAAUUUUUCCAUCCAUCCUCCCACAACCUAAUUGCAUUAUCAACCUAUUGACACAUAAAAUAUGUCAAUAGGCAAUGUGCCGUUGCACCACAGGACCCGCAAAUGGUCAUCUAUGUCAGUUACACUGCCAAUAAUUUGUACCUGACCCUUCAUGGUCCUAUUAUUCAGUUAAUCUGUUUAAAGAACAUUCAUUUUCUUCAAACAUGCUUUCUCACGUGCCACUAUAAUAUGAUGUGUAUAUACUAUCUCUUCAAGAGCUUUGACUCCUAUAUACUUGGGACAUUAAAUUUUUUUAGCAACAAUGAGAUCGGCAUAUCUCUGUUUUCGGGAUUUCAGUUGCUAAGGGAAACAAAAAGGACGUCCUCUAAUGAAUCAACAGUAUUUUGCUAUAACAAACCUGGAAGAGAGAUGAGUGUCUUACGUAGUUACAAAAACAAUGAUCACGCAAUUGUUGGUAGAAAUUUAAUCUGUUGACGUGCAUGAACAUUCUGAACAAAAAACGGAAAACGUGCAUGAACAUUUCCGGCCGGGAAGCAUUCACGAGGAGCUGAGAGGCACUCUAUUUCUUAAAGCAGCAAAAUGAUUACGAGCUUGUUCUUUUGGUGAGUGGAAUGAAUAAAUUGUACAAAAAAUCCUAAACUUAUUGUCCGAUCACUAAUUUAAUUCUGAACUUUUUAAUUUGAUCAAUGUUUUUAAAAACUUUUGACGAUUUUUUGUAGUCCACCUAGUUAAAUUUAGGUCGAAAAUCAGUGAUGGAGCAAUUUAGUAAACACUAGCCGUUUUAAGUGAUAUAACCGAUAGCUGAUAUAGAUGAUCUUAAAUGAUGUGGCGUCGUUUCACAAUUUUUUAAUAUUCUUUCUUCUUCUUUUUUUUCUUUUUUAGUAAUUUUUUUCCUAUUCUUUGGUUCUCUUGUGUUCAUUUUCUUCCCUCCGCCGAUGGCCGAUGCCUCAGCAAUGAUCGGCGACCAUCAUAGGCUACAAGUGAGGGCAUUGAGCGAGACUUGCAAGCCUUCUCCUAGAUUUGGGCAAGGGCCCUAUAGGCCCUCACUGGCCGUAGGCAAGGUUGGGAACUUGCAAGCCCUUGCCUAGAUCUACCCUCGCAUGGGGUCAAUGCCUGCCAUCACCAAAGCCUCAAUGUCUUGCUCUGGAAAGAAAAUGAACAGCAGAGAAGGAGACGAUAGGAAAAGAAAGAAAAAAGAAAAAAAGAGGAAAGGAAAAAGAAAAAAAUCUGAAAAUAAUAACAAAAAAAUUGCAAAAUGACGUUGUUUCAUUUAAGAUCAUCCAUGUCAAUCGCCAAUCAUGCAACAUGGCCUACCUUGUUGGAUGUAGUAGAUUUAGGAUAUUUUGAAUAUUUUUCUCCUAUUAAAUAUGCCUAGUUUAUUUGAUAUCCUAAAAUUUGUCAACUUUGUGAAAUCAAGUUUUAAAAUUUGUUGGCAUUUUUUUCAUAUUGGAUGAAGUUAAUGAAAUGACUUGAUUACAACUACUUGAUAAGUUUUAUGACUUGAUUGUAAUUUUUGAAAAUUGUAGACUCAAUUGCAUCUCUGUAAUAAGUUUUAAAACUUGAUUACGCUAUCUAAAAAUUUUAAGAUUUUCAAAAUACUUAUCCCUAAAAUAAAAGAAAAAGGGCCUACCCCCUUUACAUGAACUCUUUACUUUAAACGCACCAUGGAAUUUCCUGUCCUUUUACACAGUUUCAUUAACUAAGAAUUUUAUUUUUUUUUGGGUUAAAACCAAGAUUUAGUUCUUUUUUUUUUUUUUUUUUUUUGGGACCAGCCAAGAUUUAGUUCAAAGAUAGAUAUUUUGAGGAGAAAAAAAAAUUCAGCAAACUAGGCAAGGAUUUGCAAAAGAUCGUAACAAUAUUACCGGAAGCAUAUAAUUAUUUAUCACUGACGAAUGAUAUAGUAAAAAUUAUUUUAGUAGUUUACCUUAAGUUUAGCAAGAUCUGCUUAUUCGGUAGCCUUGAGUUUCUUCGAUUCCUUCUCUCUUGCCUUCAAACAGAUAUAGAAAUGGCAACGCAGAAUAUCAAGAUAGAUUGCCAUUGACAAAGCUGUAAAAGCCUACUCAAUCGAGCAAAACUGGGACAGUUUUUCCAGCGAUCUUGACCACCUCCGUAGCAUGCCGUGGAAAUAGAUAGGAACACAUGUAGAGGGACAAGCUGAUUAUCACUUGCUUUUAGUCAAGCAUUCGAAACUUUGAGAUUCAUGCACUAUAAGAUAGCUAGACAAGCAAAAAAAUGAUGGGCAUUUCAGUUGAGGUGUCGAGCAAUUAGAUUGAAUUCAAACCAAAUAAAGCUUGACGCAGAAAAGAGAAAUGUUGUGCAUUGAGCGAAUAUAUGACAAAAUAAGUGCAAAGAGAGUCAUUGAUGUUCUAGCGCUUUGGCCAAUUGAGUUCUUAAAAUUUUACUUUGCUUAAUCGAAUCCUCGGCAUUUUCAAUUUCAGUCAAUUGAGUCCCUCAACCUUGAUCCUCGGAAAUAGUCACAUGGCUAUGAUUUUCCAAGUUGAUAAGAAGAUGCUCGAGAAGAAAACCGGGUAGGAGGUGAAAUGGGACCUAAGUGCAAGUUUUACUAUUUCAGUAACUACAAUUGAUCUGACAGAAGGUUGAACUUUCAUGGAUCUGGCACUUCGUUUGAAGCUAUACAAACAGAAAUCAGCGGGCUCACGAAGCCAAUCUUUUAGACAGUUUCUGAAGUAUCACACAGAAAAGCACUAGGAUAUCUUUACACAUUCUCUUAUUUCCUCUAUAAACUCACAGUUAUUAGAGUAUAUUAGGCAUCAUUUAUUUGUAGUACAUUAGGUACAGAUGUCCUCUCUCUGAAAUUCCCUCUUUUCCUCUUCUUACGAUUAGCUUUGCCAGAAGAUGUUUCCAACUUCCGACAUUGAUGAUGUCAUUUCAAGGAGUUCUCAAUGUUUAUCACAAAUCGGUACUUAACAUCUCUCUUGAUGAGCCCCUCAAGGGCUUCAUUGGCAUAAUCGAUCAGUAUCACUUCGAUUUCUUGGUGUAUGUGCUGUGGCGCACAGAGGUCUAUCAUUUCUUGGAUAUACUUCAUUCCUCCAGUAGCGCUACCCAAAACUGUUUUCAUACCUGCAAAAAGUUCAUUAUGAGCAACUUAGUUCGUUCGCCUAUCAAGUAUCAAUAUUUCAUUCAGUAAUGAGCUUUGAGAACAAAAACAUACCGAGGUUAAGGCUUGCCGCACUGAAUGUAAUUUCGCUUUGGGACCCAACCAACGCUAGAACGCCACCCGUCUUCAAAAGAGACAUGUAAGGAUCAAAUAGGUGAGCAGCAGAUGCCGUGUCGAUUAUAAAAUCCAGGGACUUAGCCAUGGCCUACAUGUAUUGGAACCAUCAGAUCACGGCAGCAAUUGACCUCCAUGGAUCUAAAGUACUGAUAAUUCCAGAUCUUCCCGUUUGCCUUCAUCUGUUCUUGGUCAGAUGAGAUGACGAAAUGGUCAGCACUCAGCAAGCUCAGUGCUUCCUCCUUUUUAGAAUUGCUUGUACUAAACACAGCGACUUUCAGUCCAAAAGCCUUCCCAAGCUUAAUUGCCAUGUGACCGAGCCCACCGAGUCCAAUUAUGCCGAGAGACUUACCCGGUUGGCUCAUCUUGUGACGCACCAUUUGAGUGUAUACUGUGAUUCCAGCAUAGGGCAAUGGUGCUGCUAAAGCCAAUGGGUAGCUUUCUGGAAUCCUGAAGCAGUACCUGUCAAUGAAGCACCACAAUUAAGUUUCCAAAUCACACCAAAGGAGGAAGGGAUUUCCCAAUAGAAUUGACAUCCCAUCUUUUUUGUAUAACAGGAUUCAAAUCACAUUUUACUUGCUUAGAGCACAAUUCAACAUCAUGUGGUUUCUGUGAUUCUUUUUUUGACCACAAAUUGCUUAAGAUGAAAACUUCUUGCUGUAGCGACGAAAGUAAAGCCACUACGGCAUACAGGAGGCCAUACUCGAUCAAAAUUGAGAAAAGAGGCUUGCUCUAACAGAGGACACUAGAAGCAUAUUGCAUAUGCAUGAUAGAUCAUGUAAUUUCUCUAUUCCCCUCAAUCAUGUCUCUAAGGGACACGAUAUUCCCGUGACUGUCGGAUACAAGAAUCCGUGAAAGCACGUACAUUUUAUUACCCAUUUGAUCUAACACUUACUAUCUAACUCUUGGAAACAAUCUAAAAAAAGGGAGGAAGAGGAGACAAAAGGCAAGGAUUGAGCAAUUUCCAUCUCUUUCUCUCUUUUAAUUGAGGGUUAAUAUCCUAAACCCCCCCCCCCCCCCAAAACUAGUAUAUAUGUGAUAAAUUUACCCCGACGGACUAUAAAAAAACCCUAAACUUAUAUAUUUGUGACAAAUUUACCAAAAACUAAUUUAUUCAACCGCAAAAAACUUUAAGAUGGUAAAUUUGUAACAAAUAUACCCUCCACUAAAUUGGAUUAAUACCACAAAAAAAAUCACAAAAAUUGUAUACUGUGACAAACGAAGCAUAAAAUCUCAAAUUGGUAUACUAGUCAAUUGGCUUUUUUUUUUGGUAAAGUAUACUAGUCAAUUGUCACGUGUCAUUUAAUUUAAUAAUUUGACGGUAAAAUUUAAUGAAAACUAACAUAUGGUAAAUUUGUCACAAGUAUACCAGUUUAGAGUAAUUUGUCAAACAUAUACCAGUUUGAGGUUUUUUAGGGUAUUCACCCUUUAAUUAAUUUAGUUUUAAAUUUAAUUUUAUUAUUUUUUUAUGAAAAAUUCAUAUGUUAGAUUUAUUGGCUCACAUGUCAUUGUCACUUGAUGUGUAUGAUAUAUAGAAUAGUCCAAGAAAUUUGACUUUAGAUACUUGGGAACCCGCAAAUGGUCAUACAUUGUCGGUUACACAUUCAACAUGAUGUAUUAGCUAAUCAUAGUCCUCUAACGGUUUAUAUUUGCUUAAAAUAUUUCAAGAAUAUUCAUUUGUUAGACUUGUCCGCUCACACACCACUAUCACUUGAUGUAUAUGAUAUGUAGAAUAGUCUAAGAACUUUGACUUUAGAUACUUGGGAGUGUCUACGCUUGUUUUAUGUCUGUUAUGCUUGCAAUGCUUCUUGUUUUGAGUGGACAAUACAAAUAUUUAAGUCCGUGUCAAUUUGAACAACUUUCUUUAUUAUAGAGCAAUAGUCUUUAAUCUAUUGUGUUCUUGACCACAAAAAACCAAGUAACAAAUAAGUAUAAAUUAUUGUAGGGUCCAACGACAAUCUUUAAUCUAUUAUGUUCUUGACCACAAAAAACCAAAUAAUAAAUAAGUAUACAUUAUUAUAGGGCUCACUCCUUUAAAAAUUUGUUGCUCACAACAACUUAUUUAUUCUCAUAAUAACCCAAAGUUAUACUAGCAAAGCUCUUUUGAGUAAGUGUAUUGAAAGUUUUAAAAACUUGUCACUAAAGUGUAUUGAGUCCUAAAACUUUCAAAAUAUGCAAUUUAAUCCUAAAAUUUGUCACGAAAUGCAAUUGAGUCUUAAAAUUUUCAAAAUGUACAAUCAAUUAUAAAGAUUUAUCAAAAUUGGUCCAAUUGAAGUCAUUCCAUUGAUUGCAAUUUUUGAAAGUUUUAGAGCUCAAUACGAUUUCCUAACAAGUUUUAGGACUUAAUUACACUUUUUGAAAAUUUUAAAACUUAACUAUAAUUUAUGAUAAGUUUUAGGAUUUCUAGUACACUUAUCUUCUUCUUUUUUUCACCUCAUUAAUCUUUUUAGCAACAAUGAGCUUGACAUAUCUCUGUUUUCAGGAUUUCAGUGGCUAGGGGAAACAAAGGGAUGUCCUCUAAUGAAUCAACAAUCUUCCUGCCAUGACAAUGCCAGAAGAGAGAUGAGUGCCUUACAUAGUUAUCAAAAAUGUUCAUAUUAUAAUUGGUAGGCAUUCGCUCUGCCAACGUGCAUGAACAUUUCCGGCGAUGAAACAUUCGUGAGGAGCCAGUAAAGACAUCCUAUUAUUUAAACCGGCAAAAGGAUAUCGAGCUUGCUCUAUUAGCAAGUAUAUUGUCGUCAAAUAAUCCUGAUUAAUCCGAUAUUUUCAUACAAAAAAUCGUCAUCGAGGCCAACUUAAUCCAAAAUGCCAAUGGACAGGCUUGGGUAAGCUAGUGGAUAGGUAUGCCGCUUUAUCUUAUGUCGUGUUAUCUCACGCGAGAGAUGGUGCUGCGUUCUCUUUAGAAUGCACAUGACUUGGGAUAGGAAAACCUUAGGAUCCGACAAGGAAGAAGGAAAAAAGCAAUCUAUUGUCGGGCCAAUACAAGAUCAUUUCAUGUCAAUCUCCGCAGUCUUGAGGCCAUGGAAUCUACGACAUACUUGCUCAUUCACAAGGACUGAGCAAAUAAAUAAUAAAAUAAGAGCAUAGGUCAUCAUUGAUCGUCUUCCCUUUGACUGAUUGAAUUCUAAAUAUUUUAUUUUCAAUUGAGGUUUAAAUAUUUUAUUUGAUUUAAUUGACUUCUAAACAUUUCCAAUUUUAGUCAAUCAAGUCCCUCGAAUAUUAUCCUCGGAAAGAGCCACAUGGCUGUGAUUUUCCAAGUGGCUAAGGAGAUGCUUGAGGAGAACCUGUAGGAGAGGCGAAGCCAUUCAAGCAGAACUCUCAAGAAGCCAAUUUUUCAGACAGUUUCUCAAUCAUCACAUAGAAAAGUACCAGGAUUUCAUUACCCACUUCACUUAUUUCUGCUAUAAAACUCACGAGUAUCAAAGUAUAUCAGGCAUAGUUUAUUUGUACUCCAGCAGAGCAAUUAAAAAGGCACAGAUGAUGCUCUCCUCUAGCAGAAACUCCCACUUUUCCUCUGUGUGAUCAGCUUUGCCAGCAACAAUUUCCAACAACCCAAAUUGAUGUUGAAAUUUAAUCAAAUAGACUCAGAGAAGAAAACACACAAGAGAAUUGUUGCUGUAACUUUCGUUACUUUAUUCAUCGGAACAUAAGCCUAUUAAAUAGGCAGAACAUCCAAACCACUUAGCAAGAAAAUAGCUAUAGAACAACAACAACAAAGACCCACUAACAUACCCCACUAACCAGAACAUAUGCAGAAACUAACUCCUAAAAACAGGCCACUUCCUAUUGACUAGGACUCCACUAUUACAUUAUUGAAGACACGUAAAAACUGAAAGUUAACUACUUCAACAAUUGAUGGUGUCACUUCAAGGAGUUCUCAAUGUCGAUCACGAAUCGAUACUUAACAUCUCUCUUGAUGAGCCUCUCCAGAGCUUCGUUGGCAUAAUCAAUUGGUAUCACUUCGAUGUUUGGGUAUAUCUUCUGCGCCGCACACAGGUCUAUCAUUUCUUGGGUAUCCUUUGUUCCUCCCGUUACGCUACCCGUAACAGUUCUCAUAUCUGCCAAAAGUUCACCGCGAGCAACUUAGUUCACCUAUCAGGUAUGAAAUUUCAUCUAGUAAUCAGAUUUGAGAACAAAAACAUACUGAG
rnacentral:lncRNA from 1 species